UUUUUUUUUGUUUUUGCUUAUGUUUAGGAAUAAAUAAUCCAUCUACCUUCUGUUUAGAUGUGGUUUUAUGUUUUAAUUAGUGUUUGUGCCAAGUAGAACCUAUAGGAUAACCUACGAUGAUAGUUGAUUUGAUUCUGCUGAAAAACAGAAACUUUGCGCGCACGAAUUUAGUUAUGAUAAAUCACAGAAACGUUAUUUUGCGUUGAUUCUUUUUGAUGCUGAUCAAUAAACAAAUUUUACAGGACUUCCUAUUUUGGUAGAAGUUUUAGAGUUCCAGAAGUUUGCGUUAGUUACAGAUUGCUACAGACUGUUCUGUUUUUGACAGAUUCUGUUUUUCGUGUGUUGUUUUCUUAUUUUGAUGAAUCUAUGGCUAGUAAAUUAGUUUAUAAUCCAUAUAGAAGUUGGAAUAAAGUAGGUUUAACACCAAUAUAAAAAAAAGAAUGAGUUCAUUACAGUACCUUGAAGUAGUCUUUUGUUUUCUUUCUCUAACGGAGCUCACGAGAUUUCUGUUGAGUUUUGUGUUGUGAAGUUUUCAAGUUUUGGGUGAAUUCUUUUGAUGGAUUAUGAAACAAGGAGUGGCAAGAUCCUAAGCUUGGGGAUGCCCAUGGCACCCCCAAGAUAAUCCAAGGACACCAAAAAGUCAAAGCUUGGGGAUGCCCCGGAAGGCAUCCCCUCUUUCGUCCAUUUCCAUCGGUAAUUUACUUGGAGCUAUAUUUUUAUUCACCAACAUGAUAUGUGUUUUGCUUGGAGCGUCUUGUAUUAUUUGUGUCUUUGCUUGUUAGUCUACCACAAUCAUCCUUGCUGUACACACCUUUUGAGAGAGCCAUACAUGAAUUGGAAUUUGUUAGAAUACUCUAUGUGUUUCACUUAUAUCAUUUGAGCUUGAUAGUUUUGCUCAUAGCGCUUCACUUAUAUCUUUUGAGCGUGAUAACUUUUGCUCUGGUGCUUCACUUAUAUCUUUUAGAGCACGGUGGUGGAUUUGUUUUAAAGAAACUAUUGAUCUCUCAUGCUUCACUUAGAUUAUUUUGAGUCGUUAAUAGCAUGGUAAUUUGCUUAAUAUUAAUAUACUUGGUGUUCAAGAUAUGUGAAACUUUCUUUUGAGUGCGUUGAAUACUAAGAUAAGUUUGAUGCUUGAUAAUUGUUUUGAGAUAUGGAGGUGAUAAUAUUAAAGUCAUGCUAGUUGAGUAGUUGUGAAUUUGAAGAAUACUUGUGUUGAAGUUUGUGAUUCCCGUAGCAUGCACGUAUGGUGAACCGUUAUGUGAUGAACUCAGAGCAUGAUUUAUUUAUUGAUUGUCUUCCUUAUGAGUGGCGGUCGGGGACGAGCGAUGGUCUUUUCCUACCAAUCUAUCCCCCUAGGAGCAUGCGUGUAAUACUUUGCUUUGAUAACUUCUAGAUUUUUUCAACAAUUAUAUGAGUUCUUUAUGACUAAUGUUGAGUCCAUGGAUUAUACGCACCUUUUCCCAUCCUUCCACCUUUGCUAGCCUCUCAAAUACCGCGCACUUUUCGCCGGUAUCAUAUACCCACCAUAUACCUUCCUCAAAACAGCCACCAUACCUACCUAUCAUGGCAUUUCCAUAGCCAUUCCGAGAUAUAUUUCCAUGCAACUUUCCACCGUUCCGUUUAUUAUGACACGCUCCAUCAUUGUCAUAUUGCUAGCAUGAUCAUGUAGUUGACAUUGUAUUUGUGGCAAAGCCACCAUUCAUAAUUCUUUCAUACAUGUCAUUCAUGAUUCAUUGCAUAUCCCGGUACACCGCCGGAGGCAUUCAUAUAGAGUCAUACUUUGUUCUAAGUAUCGAGUUGUAAUUGUUGAGUUGUAAGAAAAAUAAAAGUGUGAUGAUCAUCAUUAUUAGAGCAUUGUCCCAAGUGAGGAAAGGAUGAUGGAGACUAUGAUUCCCCCCACAAGUCGGGAUGAGACUCCGAACGAAAAAAAACAGGCCAAAAAACUAAGAGAAAGGCCCAAAUAAAAAAUGAGAGAAAAAGAGAGAAGGGACAAUGCUACUAUCCUUUUACCACACUUGUGCUUCAAAGUAGCACCAAGAUCUUCAUGAUAGAGAGUCUCUCAUUUUUGUCACUUUCAUAUACUAGUGGGAAUUUUUCAUUAUAGAACUUGGCUUGUAUAUUCCAAUGAUGGGCUUCCUCAAAAUGCCCUAGGUCUUCGUGAGCAAGCGAGUUGGAUGCACACCCACUUAGUUUCUUUUGUAGAGCUUUCAUAUACUUAUAGCUCUAGUGCAUCCGUUGCAUGGCAAUCCCUACUCACUCACAUUGAUAUCUAUUGAUGGGCAUCUCCAUAGCUCGUUGAUACGCCUAGUUGAUGUGAGACUAUCUUCCCUCUUUUUGUCUUCUCCACAACCACCCUUCUAUUCCACCUAUAAGUGCUAUAUCCAUGGCUCACGCUCAUAUAUUGCGUGAAGAUUGAAAAAGUUUUGAAAAUGUUAAAGUAUGAAACAAUUGCUUGGCUUGUCAUCGGGGUUGUGCAUGAUUUAAAUAUUUUGUGUGGGGAAGAUGGAGCAUAGCCAGACUAUAUGAUUUUGUAGGGAUAACUUUCUUUGGCCAUGUUAUUUUGAGAAGACAUGAUUGCUUUGAUUAGUAUGCUUGAAGUAUUAUUAUUUUUGUGUCAAUAUGAACUUUUGUAUUGAAUCUUUCGGAUCUGAAUAUUCAUGUCAUAAUUAAGAAGAUUUACAUUGAAAUUAUGCCAAAGUAUCACUCCGCAUCAAAAAUUCUUUUUUAUCAUUUACCUACUCGAGGACGAGCGGGAAUUAAGCUUGGGGAUGCCUGAUACGUCUCCAACGUAUCUAUAAUUUUUGAUUGCUCCAUGCUACUUUAUCUACUGUUUUGGACUAUAUUGGGCAUUAUUUUCCACUUUUAUAUUACUUUUGGGACUAACCUAUUAACCGGAGGCCCAACCCAGAAUUGCUGUUUUUUGCCUUUUUUAGUAUUUCGAAGAAACAGAAUAUCAAACGGAGUCCAAACGGAAUGAAACCUUCGGGAUCGUGAUUUUCCAACCGAACGUGAUCAGGAGACUUGGACCCUACUCCAAGAAGUGUCCGAGGAGGUCACGAGGGUGGAGGGCGCGCCCCCUACCUCGUGGGCCCCUCGGAGCUCCACCGACGUACUCCUUCCUCCUAUAUAUACCUACGUAUCCCCGAACGAUCAGAACAGGAGCCAAAAACCUAAUUCCACCAGCACAACCUUCUGUAUCCACGAGAUCCCAUCUUGGGGCCUGUUCCGGAGCUUCGCCGGAGGGAGCAUCCACCACGGAGGGCUUCUACAUCAACACCAUAGCCCCUCCGAUGAAGUGUGAGUAGUUUACUUCAGACCUUCGGGUCCAUAGCUAGUAGCUAGAUGGCUUCUUCUCUCUUUUUGGAUCUCAAUACAAUGUUCCCCCCUCUCUCGUGGAGAUCUAUUCGAUGUAAUCUUCUUUUUGCGGUGUGUUUGUUGAGAACGAUGAAUUGUGGGUUUAUGGUCCAGUAUUAUCUAUGGAAAAUAUUUGAUUCUUCUCUGAAUUCUUUUAUGUAUGAUUGAGUUAUCUUUGCAAGUCUCUUCGUAUUAUCCUUUUUGGUUUGGCCAACUAGAUUGGUAGUUCUUGCAAUGGGAGAAGUGCUUAGCUUUGGGUUCAAUCUUGCGGUGUCCUUACCCAGUGACAGAAGGGGCAGCAAGGCACGUAUUGUAUUGUUGCCAUCGAGGAUAACAAGAUGGUUUUUUUAUCAUAUUGCAUGAUUUUAUCCCUCUACAUCAUGUCAUCUUGCUUACAGCGUUACUUUGUUUUUAACUUAAUACUCUAGAUGCAUGCUGGAUAGCGGUCGAUGAGUGGAGCAAUAGUAGUAGAUGCAGAAUCGUUUCGAUCUACUUGUUUUGGACGUGAUGCCUAUAUACAUGAUCAUUGCCUAGAUAUACUCAUAACUAUGCCCAAUUCUGUCAAUUGCUCAACAGUAAUUUGUUCACCCACCGUAGAAUACUUAUGCUCUUGAGAGAAGCCUCUAGUGAAACCUAUGGCCCCCGGGUCUAUUCUCAUCAUUAUCAAUCUCUAUCGCUUUAUUUACUUGCUUUGUUUUUACUUUGCCUUUUACUUUUUACUUUGCAUCUAUCUAUCAAAAAUACCAAAAAUAUUAUCUCUAUCAGAUCUCACUCUCGUAAGUGACCGUGAAGGGAUUGACAACCCCUAAGCGUUGGUUGCGAGUUGCUAUCGUUUUGUGUAGGUACGAGGGACUUGUGCGUGGUCUCCUACUGGAUUGAUACCUUGGUUCUCAAAAAAUGAGGGAAAUACUUACGCUACUUUACUGCAUCAUCCUCUCCUCUUCGGGGAAAUCUAACGCAGUGCUCAAGAGGUAGCUAUGGCUUCAAGCCAUUUGUUGGAAUCUGGGCCCGCCAUCGCUUCUUCAUAGUUCGAAGGUUCACCGUUGUCUAACAACAUGAUUUCCAGGACAGGGUUGCCAUACCAUUCUGGUGUGGAACGUGUACUUGUGGACCUACGAAGUUCAGUAGGAACUUGAUCCGAAGUACCUUGAUCAUCAUCAUUAACUUCCUCUCUAGUCGGUGCAGGCACCACAGAAACAUCUUCCUGAGCUACGCUAAUUUCUGCUUCAAGAGGCAGUACUUCAUCAAGUUCUACUUUCCUCCCACUUACUUCUUUCGAGAGAAACUCUUUCUCCAGAAAGGACCCAUUCUUGGCAACAAAGAUCUUGCCUUCGGAUCUGAGGUAGAAGGUAUACCCAAUGGUUUCCUUAGGGUAUCCUAUGAAGACGCAUUUUUCCGACUUGGGUUCGAGCUUUUCAGGUUGAAGUUUCUUGACAUAAGCAUCGCAUCCCCAAACUUUUAGAAACGACAACUUAGGUUUCUUCCCAAACCAUAAUUCAUACGGUGUAUCUCAACGGAUUUAGACGACGUCCUGUUUAAAGUGAAUGUAGCUGUCUCUAGAGCGUAUCCCCAAAAUGAUAGUGGUAAAUCGGUAAGAGACAUCAUAGAUUGCACCAUAUCCAAUAGAGUGCAAUUACGACGUUUGGACACACCGUUACGCUGAGGUGUUCCAGGAGGCGUGAGUUGUGAAACAAUUCCACAUUUCCUUAAGUGCAUACCAAAUUCAUGACUCAAAUAUUCUCCCCCACGAUCUGAUCGUAAGAACUUUUUUUUUGGGUCACGUUGAUUCUCUACCUCAUUCUGAAAUUCCUUGAACUUUUCAAAGGUCUCAGACUUGUGUUUCAUCAAGUAGACAUACCCAUAUCUACUUAAGUCAUCAGUCAGGGUGAGAACAUAACGAUAGCCUCCGCGAGCCUCAACACUCAUUGGACCGUACACAUCAGUAUGUAUGAUUUCCAAUAAGUUGGUUGCUCGCUCCAUUGUUCCGGAGGACGGAGUCUGGGUCAUUUUGCCCAUGAGGCAUGGUUCGCAUGUGUCAAAUGAUUCAUAAUCAAGAGGAUACAAAAGUCCAUCUGCAUGGAGCUUCUUCAUGCGCUUGACACCAAUGUGACCAAGGCGGCAGUGCCACAAGUAUGUGGGACUAUCAUUAUCAACCUUACAUCUUUUGGUAUUCACACUAUGAAUAUGUGUAACAUCACGUUCGAGAUUCAUUAAGAAUAAACCAUUGACCAGCGGGGCAUGACCAUAAAACAUAUCUCUCAUAUAAAUAGAACAACCAUUAUUCUCGGACUUAAAUGAGUAGCCAUCUCGUAUUAAACGAGAUCCAGAUACAAUGUUCAUGCUCAAAGCUGGCACUAAAUAACAAUUAUUGAGGUUUAAAACUAAUCCCAUAGGUAAAUGUAGAGGUAGCGUGCCGACGGUGAUCACAUCGACCUUGGAUCCAUUCCCGACGCGCAUCGUCACCUCGUCCUUCGCCAGUCUCCGCUUAUUCCGCAGCUCCUGUUUUGGGUUACAAAUAUGAGCAACCACACCAGUAUCAAAUACCCAGGAGCUACUACGAGUACUGGUAAGGUACACAUCAAUAACAUGUAUAUCACAUAUACCUUUGGUGUUGCCGGCCUUCUUGUCCGCUAAGUACUUGGGGCAGUUCCGCCUCCAGUGUCCGUUUCCCUUGCAAUAAAAGCAUUCAGUCUCAGGUUUGGGUCCAUGCUUUGGCUUCUUCCCGGCAACUAGCUUACCGGGCGCAGCAACUCCCUUGCCGUCCUUCUUGAAGUUCUUCUUACCCUUGCCUUUCUUGAAACUAGUGGUUUUAUUGACCAUCAACACUUGAUGUUCCUUUUUGAUCUCCACCUCCGCUGAUUUCAGCAUUGAAUAUACCUCAGGAAUGGUUUUCACCAUCCCCUGCAUAUUGAAAUUCAUCACAAAGCUCUUGUAGCUAGCUAGAAGCGACUGGAGUAUUCUGUCAAGGAUCGCGUCAUCCGGGAGAUUAACUCCCAGCUGAGAUAAGCGGUUGUGCAACCCAGACAUCUUGAGUAUGUGCUCGCUGACGGAACCAUUCUCCUCCGUCCUAGAACUGUAGAACUUGUCGGAGACUUCAUAUCUUUUGACCCGGGCAUGAGCUUGGAAAACCAUUUUCAGCUCUUGGAACAUCUCAUAUGCUCUGUGCUGCUCAAAAUGCUUUUGGAGCCCCGGUUCUAAGCUGUAAAGCAUGUCGCACUGAACCAGGGAGUAAUCAUCACUACGCGGCUACUAGGCAUUCAUAACGUCUUGAGUUGCUGGGAAAACGGGUGCUUCACCUAGCGGUGCAUCUAGGGCAUAUGCUUUCUUGGCAGCUAUGAGGAUGAUCGUCAAGUUCCGGACCCAGUCCGUAUAGUUGCUACCAUCGUCUUUCAGCUUGGUUUUCUCUAGGAACGCGUUGAAGUUGAGGGCAACAUUAGCGUGGGCCAUUUGAUCUACAAGACAUAUUGCAAAGAUUUUAGACUAAGUUCAUGAUAAUUAAGUUCAUCUAAUCAAAUUAUUUAAUGAACUCCCACUCAGAUAGACAUCCCUCUAGUCAUCUAAGUGAUACAUGAUCCGAGUCAACUAGGCCAUGUCCGAUCAUCACGUGAGACGGACUAGUCAUCAUCGGUGAACAUCUUCAUGUUGAUCGUAUCUACUAUACGACUCAUGUUCGACCUUUCGGUCUCUUGUGUUCCGAGGCCAUGUUUGUACAUGCUAGGCUCGUCAAGUCAACCUAAGUGUUUUGCAUGUGUAAAUCUGGCUUACACCCGUUCUAUUCGAACGUUAGAAUCUAUCACACCCAAUCAUCACGUGGUACUUCAAAACAACGAAUCUUCGCAACCGUGCACAGUUAGGGGGAACACUUUCUUGAAAUUUUAUGAGGGAUCAUCUUAUUUACGCUACCGUCGUUCUAAGCAAAUAAGAUGUAAAACAUGAUAAACAUCUCAUGCAAUCAAAUAGUCACAUGAUAUGGCCAAUAUCAUUUUGCUCCUUAUGAUCUCCAUCUUCGAGGCGCCAUGAUCAUCAUCGUCACCGGCAUGACACCAUGAUCUCCAUCAUCGUGUCUUCAUGAAGUUGUCUCGCCAACUAUUACUUCUACUACUAUGGCUAAUGGUUUAGCAAUAAAGUAAAGUAAUUACAUGGCAUUAUUUAAUGACACGCAGGUGAUACAAUAAAUUAAGACAACUCCUAUGGCUCCUGCCGGUUGUCAUACUCAUCGACAUGCAAGUCGUGAUUCCUAUUACAAGAACAUGAUCAAUCUCAUACAUCACAUAUAUGUCAUUCAUCACAUCCUUUUGGCCAUAUCACAUCACACGGCAUAUGCUGCAAAAACAAGUUACACGUCCUCUAAUUGUUGUUGCAAGUUUUUACGUGGCUGCUAUAGGUUUCUAGCAAGAACGUUUCUUACCUACGCCAAAACCACAACGUGAUAUGCCAAUUGCUAUUUACCCUUCAUAAGGACCCUUUUCAUCGAAUCUGAUCCAACUAAAGUGGGAGAGACAUACACCCGCUAGCCACCUUAUGCAACUAGUGCAUGUCAGUCGGUGGAACCUGUCUCACGUAAGCGUACGUGUAAGGUCGGUCCGGGCCGCUUCAUCCCACGAUGCCGCCAAAUCAAGAUAAGACUAGUAGUGGCAAGUAAAUUGACAAAAUUGACGCCCACAACAACUUGUGUUCUACUCGUGCAUAGAAACUAUGCAUAGACCUAGCUCAUGAUGCCACUGUUGGGGAUCGUUGUAGAAAUUAAAAAAAUUCUACGCAUCACCAAAAUCAAUCUAUGGAGUAACUAGCAAUGAGAGAGAGGGGAGUGCAUCUUCAUACCCUUGAAGAUCGCAAGUCGGAAGCGUUACAAGAACCCGGAUGAAGGAGUCGUACUCCUAGCAAUAUAGAUCGCGGUGGAUUCCGAUCUAAGCGCCGAACAAUGACACCUCCGUGUUCAACACACGUGCAGCCCGGUGACGUCUCCCACACCUUGAUCCAGCAAGGAGGAGGGAGAGGUUGAGGAAGAUAGCUCCAGCAGCAGCACGAUGGCGUGGUGGUGAUGAAGUGGCAGUUCUCUGGCAGGGCUUCGCCAACCUCACGCGGAGGAGGAGAGGUGUUGGGGAGGGGAGGGGCUGCGCCUUGGAUGUGGUGCUGCAACCCUCCCUCCACCCCUCUGUUUAUAGGGAGAAGGGGGAAGAGGGCCGACCCCUCUAGAUGAGAUCUAGAGGGGGGCGGCGGCCAAGGGGGAGGGGGCUUGCCCCCCAAGCAAGAGGGCACCCCUUUAGGCGCCCCCCAAACCCUAGGCGCAUGGGCCCUAGGGGGGAUGGUGCCCAUCCCACUUAGGGGCUGGUUCCCUUCCACCUACAGCCCAUAAGGCCCUCCGGGGCAGGUGGACCCUCCCAGUGGACCCCCAGAACCCCUCCGGUGGUCCCGGUACAAUACCGGUAUACCCCCGAAUAUUUCCGGUGACCGUAUGAUGACUUCCCAUAUAUAAAUCUUCAGCUCCAGACCAUUCCAGAACUCCUCAUGACGUCCGGGAUCUCAUCCGGGACUCCGAACAACAUUCGGUAAUCACAUACAAAUCUUCCUUAUAACCGUAGCCUCAUCGAACAUUAAGAGUGUAGACCCUACGGGUUCGGGAAUCAUGCAGACAUGACUGAGACAACUCUCUGGCCAAUAACCAAUAGCGGGAUCUGGAUACCCAUGUUGGCUCCCACAUGUUCCACGAUGAUCUCAUCGGAUGAACCAUGAUGUCGAGGAUUCAAGUAAUCCCGUAUACAAUUCCCUUUGUCAAUCGGUAUGUUACUUGCCCGAGAUUCGAUCGUCAGUAUCCCAAUACCUUGUUCAAUCUUGUUACCGGCAAGUCACUGUACUCGUUCUGUAAUGCAUGAUCCCGUGACCAACUACUUAGUCACAUUGAGCUCAUUAUGAUGAUGCAUUACCGAGUGGCCCCAGAGAUACCUCUCCUUCAUACGGAGUGACAAAUCCCAGUCUCGAUUCAUACCAACUCAACAUACACUUUCGGAGAUACCUGUAGUGCACCUUUAUAGCCACCCAGUUACGUUGUGACGUUUGGUACACCCAAAGCAUUCCUACGGUAUCCGGGAGUUGCACGAUCUCAUGGUCUAAGGAAAUGAUACUUGACAUUAGAAAAGCUUUAGCAAACGAACUACACGAUCUUGUGCUAUGCUUAGGAUUGGGUCUUGUCCAUCACAUCAUUCUCCUAAUGAUGUGAUCCCGUUAUCAAUGACAUCCAAUGUCCAUAGUCAGGAAACCAUGACCAUCUGUUGAUCAACGAGCUAGUCAACUAGAGGCUCACUAGGGACAUGUUGUGGUCUAUGUAUUCACACAUGUACUACGGUUUCCGGUCAAUACAAUUAUAGCAUGAAUGAUAGACAAUUAUCAUGAACAAGGAAAUAUAAUAAUAACCAUUUUAUUAUUGCCUCUAGGGCAUAUUUCCAACAGUCAUCUCAACCCUUCGAGCUGCUACACAUGGACUUAUUUGGCCCCACUAACUACUCUACUCUCACUACCACUGCUUGUCUCUAUGGCUUCGUCAUUAUUGAUGAUUAUUCAAGAUAUACAUGGGUGCGUAUAAUCCUCUACAAGACUGAAGUGCAGGAUGUCUUCAGACGCUUCGCCAACAAUGCCAUGACGAACUAUGGCGUCAAGAUCAAGCAUAUCAGAAGUGACAACGGCACAGAAUUCUAGAACACCGGCCUCGACCUUUAUCUGGACACAUUGGACAUCACUCAUGAGUUCUCAGCUCCGUACACACCUCAGCGGAAUGGCAUCAUGGAGCGCAAGAAUAGAACACUAAUUGAGAUGGCUCGGACGAUGCUUGAUGAAUACAAGACUCCAAGAAAGUUCUGGCCCGAAGCCAUUGAUACUGCAUGUCAGGUCAUCAACCGUGUUUAUCUUCACAAGCUUCUGAAGAAGACAACCUAUGAACUCCUAACUGGUAAGAAGCCAAAUGUCAGUUACUUCAGAGUAUUUGGUGCUAGGUGCUGGAUCAAGGAUCCACAUCACACUUCAAAAUUUGCACCGAAAGCACAUGAAGGUUUUAUGCUUGGUUGCGGAAAGGAUUCACACUCCUACAGAGUCUUCAACCUCUUUCACUAUAAAGUGGUUGAAACUGUAGAUGUGCGGUUCGAUGAGACUAACGGCUCUCAAAGAGAGCACCUGCCAAAUGUGCUAGAUGAAGUUCCACCUAGUGAAUCCAUCAAGCUCAUGGGAACUGGAGAGAUCAUACCUUCUGAGGCAUAGGCAGAAGAGGAACUUAUCAUUUCUGCACCUAAUCAAUCUGAAGACAAUGCUCAAACUGAAGCCAAUCCUCCAAAUGAAGACAAUGAUCAGCAAGAGCAAAAUCUUCGUCCAGUUCACCCUUGUGUUGCAAAUGAAGUACAAAUUGAGAAGAUAAUUGAUAGCAUCAAUGCACCUGGUCCACUCACUCGUUCAAGAGCAACACACCUAGCAAAUUUCUGUGGGCACUUUGCAUUUGUCUCAAUAUCUGAACCCAAGAAAGUUGCUGAAGCCUUCAUGGAACUUGAAUGGAUUCAAGCUAUGCACGAAGAGCUUCAGCAGUUCAAACUGAACAAUGUGUGGGAAUUAGUCAAGCGUCCUGACGCUCUCAAUCACAACAUUAUAGGCACCAAAUGGAUAUAUCGCAACAAGCAAGAUGAGCAUGGUCAAGUUGUCAGAAACAAGUCUCGUCUCGUUGCUCAAGGAUACACUCAAGUUGAAGGGAUUGACUUCGAUGAAACAUUUGCUCCUGUGGCUAGGCUUGAAUCCAUUCGCAUACUGCUAGCCUAUGCAAAUCAUCAUGACAUCCUUCUGUAUCAAAUGGAUGUGAAGAGUGCCUUUCUCAAUGGCAAGAUUGAAGAAGUAGUGUAUGUUGCACAACCACCUGGCUUUGAAGAUCCAAAACAUCCUGAUAUGGUAUACAAGCUCAACAAGGCACUAUAUGGCCUCAAACAAGCCCCUCGCGCUUGGUAUGACACACUCAAAGACUUCCUGAAGAGCAAAGGCUUCAAACCUGGUUCCAUGGAUCCCACACUCUUCACGAAGACAUAUGAUGGUGAACUAUUUGUGUGCCAAAUCUAUGUGGAUGACAUUAUCUUCGGUUGCACUGACAAGAGAUACACUAAUGAAUUUGGACACAUGAUGCAAGAGCAAUAUCAGAUGUCCAUGAUGGGUGAGCUGAAGUUCUUCCUAGGUCUUCAAAUUCGUCAGCAGAGCAACGACAUAUUUAUAUCUCAAGAGAAAUACCUCAAAGACUGCCUGAAGAAGUUUGGAAUGCAAGACUACAAAGGUUGCACGACGUCAAUGCCAACCAAAAGUCAUCUGGGUCCUGACACCAAUGGUAAAGAGUUCGAUCAAAAGGUAUACCGCUCCAUGAUUGGUUCCUUACUUUAUUUAUGUGCAUCUAGGCGAGAUAUCAUGCUUAGUGUUUGCAUGUGUGCCCGAUUCCAAGCGGCACAUAAGGAAUCACAUCACUUAGCUGUGAAGCGAAUUCUUUGAUAUUUGGCUUACACCCCAACACUAGGAUUAUGGUAUCCAAAGGGCUCAGAAUUUGAUCUGGUUGGAUUCUCGGAUGCUGAUUAUGUUGGUGACAAGGUGGAUCGCAAGUCUACAUCAGGCACAUGCCACUUUCCGGGUCGAUCACUUGUCUGUUGGUCUUCAAAAAAGCAGAACUGUGUAUCACUCUCCACUGCUGAAUCUGAAUACAUUGGUGCUGGAUCUUGCUGCGCUCAGCUUCUAUGGAUGAAGCAAAUUCUCAAGGACUAUGGUAUCCAUCUGAAGCAAGUGCCACUCUACUGCGACAAUGAAAGCGCCAUCAAGAUUUCCAUCAACCCAGUUCAGCACUCGAAGACAAAGCACAUUGAAAUUCGUCAUCACUUUCUCAGAGAUCAUGUCAUGAAGGAAGAUAUUGAUAUCAUUCACGUCAACACUGAAGAGCAAUUGGCAGAUAUCUUCACAAAGCCCUUGGAUGAGAAAAGGUUUUGCAAGUUGCGGUGUGAGCUAAAUAUCUUAGAAUCCUCAAAUGUUCUGUGAUUAGGCACACAUCCUAACACUUAUGCAUGUUGAUGACUUAGAUGUGCAACACGCGAAGUAUUGUAUAUCUUCAAUCAAUGAAGACUUACACUCUAGUGUGAAUACAUUAAUGCGGAAUUUGACUUCGGAGCGCCACGAUAAUUGUGCGCCGUGUCUGGGUCUAAUACUUCCUAUACGGUGGGUAACGCCACCACCAAACCUUUGUUUGAAGUGUUUCUCUUGGCGUUACAUUUGCAAAGUCUUCACAGUUAAUUUGUCUUCAACCUUGAUUUGAGUUCAUGAUUAUCUUCGCCUUGUUGAUUUGGUCUUACUCAGAUAAAUACAUAUAUUUGUGUUCUGUCCUCUACAGCAUUCACUUAUAGCUAUGUCUCCUCUUUUGAAUCUUUUGGACUAAGUGAAUGUGAUCGGACCCUAAGCUCUUCUAUGCUUCUACCUCAUAUUCUAUCUAUCCAAAUCAUAUGCAUUCUAUUGAAACCGUCGAAUGUCUUCUCUGCGUCCUUGUCAGCAGAAGAAAUAGAGACAAAAGUUGAAUCCGUUUUAAAUGUUGUAUCCUUAUUGCCUGAAACACGGAGAAGCCGGAACGACCACCCGACAGUCUAGGCGAGCGUGGGAACAUGGAACAACUUUCAAUGUGUUGCAUGUUCGCCACGUGUCCCUCGGAUGUGAACCGCCAGGGGCACCUACAUAAUUGCGCUGUCUUGUCCCUCUCCCUAUAAAUACACAUCACAUCACAGUCAAAAUCUUUCUUCCACCUCUCCACCUUGACAAACCCUAGCGCCACGCUAGCUCGCGGCGACGCUGGUGACGAAGCGCUUAGCUGUCGCGACCUCGUCGACGCCGUCCUCAUGCCGGCCGUGGACCUUGUCUCCUCCGCCGCCGCCGUAGGUGUCUUCCGUCGCCAAGUUAGCGCACGGGAGAUUGAACUGCUCGGCCUCCUACUUCGCUCCAUCUAGCAGUUCUUCGUGUGGUAAUUAAAAAUCACUUUUUACUGCCUUUUUGAACCGAUAGAUUCAUCCUUCUCCACCAAAAGUGGUUUCUGUGUCUACAAUUUUCGAUCUAUCAUGUACUGCAUCUCAUAACAUGCCUAGUACGUUCUCUUAUGCUUCACACAUAGUUAGAUUCCUUACUUGUACCUAUUCUUGGAUUCGUACAAAUCUGGAACCAACUCCCAACCAAUAAGUGAAUGUCUUCACGCUAUGAGGUCAAUGUCUUCAAAACUGAUUUAUCUUCAAAAUCUUCUGAGAAUGCAUAUGACCUCUUCCCCUUCCCUCGCAUCUCUAAUGCUGUCACAGGUACAUGUCCGUGGGAGAAUCCCUUGGUUCUCAUAGUCUUCAUUCAUUUGCAGAAUUCUUACAGCAUCACAUCAAUUCUCCCGAAGCUAGUUCUUGUCUGAUCAGCAGACGGAAGCAUUUGCAAGUUUUGAAGCCAUUCAGUUUGAACUACAUGGCCACAGAAAAGUUAGCAAGGAAGGGAGGCAGACAGCGCCACGGGGGUACUUCAAUGGGUUUGCCUGAGGAUCUUUAUGAGUCAUACAAAACUGAUCCCGAAAAGAGCUAUGGCCAAUGCAAAACACGAAUCCAAUGGAUUCGAAGAUAUUGGGUCGAGCAAUGGUUCAAGUACAGGUUUGUCACCAAGGAAUAUGCUGAAAAGAAUGCCAUCAAGCGUCCUUGGGGGGAUAUUCUCUACAACAAUCUUCAACCCAAGACAAGAUCUGAAGCUAUUGCUUAAGGUUUCUACCCUUGCAUGGUCCAAGGACCACAACCUGCAGAUGCCGACCCAUCAUCUCUGUUGCGGUGUCAUGAGGACAGUUUGUUCAAGCGCAACUACAAGUUUGCCAAGGACUCUGCAAUAAAGAACAAGAUGAGCCUCACAUGCAACUUCAAUCCUGGUCCUUCUGCUCCUAGGGCUGAUGGCACACGUGAUGCCCAAUGUCAUCGGGCCCUUCGACAACUUUGAUGGUUUUCUCUCCUACAGCCACUCAGAGGGCCACAGUGGAUCAGUGUGGAGAUGAAGCUGAUUCUGAUGAAGCUCCUGCUCUGCCGAAGCCUCAAAAGCAAAAGAAACCAAAGGCUUCAAAACCUGCUGCUGCACCAAGCACUUCGCGUGCGAAGCCACUAGCCACUGCUCCUCCUGCACCAAGUGUGCAUUCUGAAGAUCUUUCUCGUGUCUCCAAGAAGAAAGAGAAGCCCCAGAAGAAAAUUGUCAAGAGUUCUGGACAAGCACUGACCCCAGCUGCCAUUCUGCGGAAUGAGCAUGAAGCUAUUGAUCUGUCAACUGAUGAUGAGUUUGGUGAUGAUGCUCUUGAGUAGCUGAUUAAGAGCAAGCAAGAGGUGGAGAUCUUCAAUGAUCUGCCCCUUUUCGAUGUGGACAUCUUGAAUAAUUUCAUUGAUGAGUGGUUUGACAACCCAAACCUCAGUUUUGAUGAUCUUCAGCUCCCAAUUGGCCUCAACGUCUCCUUCCACGGAGCCAUUGCUCCUGAGUUGGCUCUAGCUCAGAGAAUAAAAUUGACUAUGAGAAGGCUCGGUUUAAUGAGCACAUGGCCAAGCUCAGUGUGACUGAUAUUCAAAACUUCAAGCAGAUGAUGCAUGAGCUCAAGGAGGCGUUUCACAAGAAACGUGAAUAAGCAAAAGGUUCAAGAGAACGAAUGAAACUCCUCGCUACAAAAUGUGUUCAAUAUCACAAUGAAGCUGAGAAGCGCAAGGCUCUUGGGCGUCCUGGCAUAGACCCCAAGAUGGCUGCCAAAAAGAAGAAGCCUGUUGUGGUCCAAGCUGAAGCAUCAGAGCAGGAAGCACCUCGCAUUGUCUUCCCUGCUAGUAUGACAGGCUCGAAGCCUAAGGUCCCCACAGUUUCUUCAGAACUCAAGAAAACAAGGAAAAUUGAAGCCGAAGCCAGAAAGCGCAAGUCCAAGCACACCACUGAUGAUGCUCCACCGACCAAGAAGAGAAAAACAAAGAAGAAAGAUAGGGUUGCUCCCACAGAGCCCCUUGUCAUCGAGCCAAUCUCAGUCGCUCGUCCUGCGUCCGAACACCGAGAGUGUCAGUUAAUUGUUCAUGAGCCUGCUACCACAGAGGCUCCUGAAGCUGAAGACAUUCCAGCUGUUGACACCACCGCAAUUGAAGACAUUGGUCCCCAAGACAAUGUAAAUGAUGAUGAAGUCCUUGCUCAGAUCGAGCACCAAAUGGUAUCAUCGCCUGUUCUCACGAACAACGAACUCAUCAGCAUUGGUCGUCCAUUGACGCCAAUCGCUCAGGAUGAUUCAUGGGCUGAUCACCCUCAAGUCUUCCCCCAUCGAGAAGAAUCGCCAAGUACUUCCCCAACUCAAGUCACCACUCCGGUGCUUGAUGAUGACGACUUUGUGGCCCAGUCAACUCCCUCUCCAUAGGCGUCGCCCGCGUUUCGCAGGCUUCGCAAAGGUCCAAGGCCACAAGUCACUCUUUCGAGUGUUCCAAAAGGAGAAGGGCACCACAACUCAGUAUCACGCCAAGUGUUCCCUGAAGCCACUCCAACUGCGAACGUCUCAGAAUCUGAAGCCAAAGCUGCUGAAGAUAUACCGGCUGCAUCAGCCGAAGAACAACAAGAAACCUAUUAAGAAGAAGAAGAAUGUGUUGCCACACCCCCUACCAACCAAGCAGUUGUUCUCGAGGAGAACGUGUCCGACCCUCCAGCUACUCAAGUGGAGGUUGAUAAUACUGAGGCGACCACAAACACAAAUACUAAAGCCAAUGACAUUGUCAUGGCUGAAGUAAAUGUGGCACCUAAAGUUACUGUGGCGCCAGAAGUGAAUGCACCUGAAGUCAAUGUUGCACCAGAAGCCAUUAUACCUCUAGCAGCUCAUGUCAAUGUCGAUGCUCCUCUUCCGCCUCCAAGGCCACAAACUAUUGAGAUAACAUUUGAUCGCGGCCAACCUGUCAUGGUUCGCUGGCCCAUUCUGGUUCCUCCUCCUGCUCCUGGACCUCAAUUUGAUUAUCAUGAGGAGCACAGGCCUCAGGUCCAGAAGCCAAAACCCAGGCUGCCUAGGUUUCUAGGUACAACAACUUCACCAGGAUCGUUUAAUGUGAAUGGCUUUGUUGCACACAAUACCUUCUUUGAUAGCGACAAGAACCCAUACUUGAAGCCAAGAAUUUCAUCUGAUCGGUUCUGGAGCUAUCACCAGCGCAGUUACUAUUCUUGUGUUCUUUACGAUCAAGGGCGCAUCUUUCCCCCAUAUGCGUCUAGACUGCGAAGCCAUUGCUGGUCUGCCCUGCUUGGAAGAAGCCCUUGAUUGUUUCAGAGAUGCUGGUCUGCUACAAUUUGUGACUGAUAAAGAGCACUGGAACGAAGAGCUUCUGCUUCAAUUUUAUGCCACCUUCCACAUUCGCGGCUACAACAAGGAUCCGAAGUCAUGGAUCCUUGAUUGGAUGACAGGCAAUGUACACCAUGAAGCCAAAGCUCUUGAUAUUAUUGAGCUCACUGGCCUACCCACUCCAGGUGAACUAUAUGAACCUGGUUGUCAACUUCACCGCAAUGCUUUAAGGAGCAUCUUUCAGAAGCCUGAGCCAAACAUGAGCCAAAUGCUGAGCAUGAUGAAGCCACUGCCACGCGACGCUGAAUAUCCAAGGGAAUUCUUUGUUGAAGACCUAGAGUAUCUGCCGCGCACUAUUUAUCAUAUCAUCAGGCGAACUCUAUGGCCUAUCAAAUGACAUUCUCCUGCAGCAAAGCUUGAAGGAGCAAUGAAGACAUUAGUUUUCUAUAUCUUCAAUGGCAUCAGCUACAAUGCUCAAGACUUCUUCAUCAGGUAAUUGGCUGCGUCUGGCUCUGAUUUAUUUGGUCUUAAGUUCUAUGCUCUAUGGGUUAUGCGCCUCAUCAAGCUUCAUUCUGCUGUCAACUAUCAGCCCUCUGCGCGCAACCACAUUAUCUUCUUACCAGAGGUAGAUAUGUCUGUCGAAGCCAUAUACCUAGAACCUGCCAAGGAGCCCAUUUACCUUCACAAUGUCGAUCGCCAAAGUUUCACUCAACCCAUUGAAGGAGUUCUUGCUGCUACUCGUGUUUAUCCUUUGGCUGGCAAUACUCGUGCACCUCAUCGUGCCCAUACUAAAGCCACUGAAAGCACAAUUGCUCAACGGCCUCGGAAGCGUUCUCGUGUACACAAUGACCGAGAGCUUCUCGUUGCCCUGCAUCGAAAACAGGAUAAGCAUCAUGACUGGCUGAAGCGUCAGAUGCGAAGCCUCUUGGUGAUUGUUAAUCACAUUCGCAACCUCGCCACCAAGAAUGCAUUUGUCACUCAUGAAACCUGUCGGCGGACGUGGAAGGGUCUGACACUGAUAAGCUCUGAAGAUGAUCUUCAACAAGAUGGCUUCACAAAGAGAUUCAAGUUUGAUUCCACUCCUCCCAGGAAUGUUGUCUUGCGUCGGACUCCCUCACUCGAAGAUUCUGUGUACUCCUCCUCUGCAGCAACUGUAAAUGCAAGAGUCGUCGAUGAUGAAGAUGAUGCUACUUCGCCAACUACAACGUCACCGCACAUCGACACUGCACCAAGUUCUUCUGCACUACCGAACCUCAAUGACGACCCUGCUGCUUCCCCUACUUCUCAUGGGAACGAGUAGACGCUCUAUGUCUUCAAACCUUUUUGGUCCUUACUGACAAAAGGGGGAGAAGCAUAUGAGUUGAUAGUCUUCAAGCGGGUCCAUAAGGGUGGUUGAUAUUUUUACUAUACUUUUGCCAAGUGCUUACAACUCUUGCUUUUGAUACUUUUGGUUUUUUGAGUUGUAACACUUAAACUUGAUGAUCGUCUGCUACUUUCUCUGCUAUUCUAUGAUGCGAUGAUAAAUUUCGCAUAUGCGAUGACAAAUCCCGCAUGAGAUCUUUUCGCAGACGUCCAUUUUCCAUUGUGCAUGCCAUUACCUUCAUUAUAUCCUUUCAUGCAUGACGAAUUGUCUUCAUUAGUUGAAGAGGAUCUCCACAAGUACAACCUGCCAUGUGCAUUUGCAUUCAAAAGCAAAAUACUUAUAUGCACAUCUUCAGGGGGAGCCUUUUGCUACUUAUGAAGACAAUAUCUUAAUCCUUUACAAUUUCACAUACUUUUAUCCCCGUUGAAUAUUUCAACCAGUUUGUCAUCAAUCACCAAAAAGGGGGAGACUGUAAGUGCAUCUAGUGCCACCCCUAGUUGGUUUUGGAGUAUUGACGACAAACCUGGUUGAGGGACUAAUGUGUUUGUGAGAAUUGCAGGAUAACACAGGUAGUGGUCCCUCAUUGAUUUGGUUUACCUACCGGAGAUGACCCCUAAAAAUGUGUGAAGACAUUGAAGACAAUGGUGGUAUGUGAAGAUAUUCACAAUAAAGAUUAUGACUUGAGAAUACAUUCACGUGAAGACUAUGGAGUGCGAAGACAUAGCUGUUUUGUAGCUUCCUUUUCUUCUUUGUUGAGUCAUAGGAACCACCGUACUGUUAAAUGGGGUCCAAGUAAACAAAGUCAGAGUGACUGAAGUGAUGCUCAACCAAAUCCUAUGUCUUCGAGCGAAGACAAUGAGAGCAAAUCUUAUCGAGAGUCGGAUAAGUCAGCUUUACUUGUAGCCCAAGUCAAGCUGUCGCGUGUGUUUGAAAUCUGACCGUUGGAACACGUGUCAGUUCCUUAGUGACUCAGGGUCAUUUCAGACAAAUCAGGUCGGGUUGCCUCCUGGCUAUAAAUAGCCCACCCCCUACACCAUAAAUUGGUGGCUGCUCAGAGUUAGUACACGACUUUUGUCGUUUGAGAGCAACCCACCUCCAAAGCAUUUGAGAGAGAGAUCCUUGCGAGGACAAAGCCCAAAACACCCAGAGCCCAAAGAGUGUUUGGUAUCGCUGAAGUCUUUCUGUCUGUGUGACGGCGCCUCGCGGGCGACCUUGCCGGUGACCUCGGGCCUCACCGGUGGCCGCGCAUUGCGUCAAGCAGUUGCCGAACAUCGUCGAAGCGGCCGGAGCGGGUGUACAUCCCCAUUAUGGCACUAAACACCUGCACGGUGGCACCCUCCCCGACGUCGCGGGGGGGGGGGAGGGAGAUCCAUUGCCGCUCUCCAAGAGGCACUCGAAGGCGUCGAGCGCGCGCUGGCAGGAGGCUGCUCACACGGCGCACACGACGUAGGCGAGCUCGUCGGGGGACACCCAGGCGUCGUCGAGCACCUCCGCGACGGGCGUGCCGAGGGGAAUCGGGGCGCGGAAGGUGCGGGAAGCGGAGAUGGGGCCAGCGGAUGGAGGAGUCGACUCGGGGUAGUCGAAGUCGUCGCUGGUGGUGGCGGAGGACGCUCCUGUGGCCCCGGCGGUGGCACGUGGAAGGGAAGGGGAAGGGUAGUGUGGAGGAGACGAUCAUGAGAGCCAUCGGGUCCGAGGGGAAGGGGGUCAGGCGCACAUGGAGGUGGUGGUUGAGUUGGAGGUGUGGUUGCGGCGGGCGCCAUGGCCGGAGGAGAGUGGAGUGGAACGCCCACUCUGCCACUGGACGCGAUAAGGCCAACUCUAACCGAUCUUUCAUGAUGUUGCUGCUGCCGCUGCUCGCUGCCGUCAGCGUAAGCCUCGAUUAGUGCUUGCGUCGCGUGGUCACCAUGAUCGCCACUGGCCACGGAGGCGCACAACAAGUGUUCGACGAAAUGUAUGAGCCAUAUAUAACUUUAUUCCGUUACGUUUAGGGGAUCAACUAGGUCCACCAAAACUUAGUGAAGUAAAAAUACGCUACCAAAGAUUUACUCCGCCGGAACCUUCUUUAUUUUUAUGAAAUCAGUUAGAGUUGCCCUUAGCGCAGAUGGCAACUAGUCUUGAAGAGGGGCGCCAUCUCUCGCUGGCUACCCCCUUUAAAUCUUUGUAUUCUCAUGGACAUUUUGAUUUACUAAUCUGACUACAAAAACUAUAGACGGUCGCAUAUAUUUUAAAACAGUUGGUCGUAUAUAUAUACUCCCUCCGUUCUUAAAUAUUUAUCUUUUUAGAGAUUUCAAAUUGACUAUCACAUACGGAUGUAUAUAAACAUAUUUUAGAGUGUAUAUUCACUCAUUUUGCUUCGUAUGUAGUUAUCUGUUGAAAUCUCUCGAAUGACAAAUAUUUAGGAACGGAUGGAGUAGUAUAUUUUUCCGGCAAAAGUAGUACGUAGACAAACAGUUGCUUCAUGUAGAACAAUACACUGGAGAACAAGGGCAAAUACGAGCACUAGCUAGGCAGAGGCGCAGAGCUUAUUGUACACGUUGCAUUGGAUAGCUGACAAAUCCUCCAUGCAUGUCCGCACGCCGAAAUGCUAGUACCACUAGACAGUACAUCGCGCACACACUUGAAGAAAACACACCGUAGCUAGCUCGCGUCCAUGCCUCCGUGCGUCACUUCCAUCCCUACACGAGAACCGCGACUGCGGCGACAGGGCCGGCAGUGCGCAGGACGUGGAAGUAGAGCUGCCUCUUGGCCAGGAACGCCACGCGGGAUAUGACGAAGCCGGCGGCGCCCGGCGCGUUCAUCAUGGCGCCGGUGGUGGCGGGGGCGGCGGCCGCGGGCCAGAGGAAGUAGAUGCUCACGGCGCCCCCGAGGACCAUCGCCGCGGCUUUCACGGCGCCUUCGCGCGUGGAAACCGCUGCCGCCGCCUGGUUCUUGAAGUGGCCGAGGCCCGCGGCGAGGUCGGCCGUGUUCAUCUCCGCCAGCUUUCGGCGGAGGUCCGCCGGCCUAGCUGACGAGACGGUGGAUGCCAUGGCCUUCGCCUGUUGCUUGACGCUGUCAAGACUUCCGGAGAUCAGCUCCCGUGUGUUCAUCGCGGUCAGUUUUGGGUGCAGGUUCUUCUUGGCCGGCGAGAUGGACAUGGACCGUGUCUGAUGCAAAAAUUACAGAGACGUGGGAAGGUGAUAUUAUGGGAGGAAAGGAAUCAACGGUGAUGGAAGGUGACGCGGUGCGUAUGAUGUCACGCGCUGUCACCUAGUGGAGGAAUCCCAUGCGAAAGACACCUAGUUGGAUUAACAAAGUUCUUAUCGUUAAGCUCUCCACUUCAGCAGUACAAGUGUGUCCCCCCUCGUUGGUUUGUCCUUCACCCUAUUAAAAAUACUUUGCAUACCAAAUAACUGGACUUGUUAGCAACACUAGUCUACGUCUAGACCGACGACGACGACCUCGACUAGUCCACUUUCUUCAUCUAAAAGCAACCCUAGUCAUCUCACCAAAUAAACAAAAAAACAAUCAAAUAAUCGAUCCUUAAAGGGACAACAACAUCAUAUCAGUGGCAAGUGGCAAUAGGCCCCACACGCGGGCACAAUCGCACAAGGCUUUACCCAAAAGAAAAAAACAAUCGCACAAGGCUUGAAGCGCAUCUACGGCCGGGCGUGACGCGGAAGGGAACUCUUCUACCCAGUUUAAUCCGCUGCGGCAACAAGUGUAUUUGUGAAUUACAAAUCUAAACUUAAAAAGAGAAAAAACUCUAUUUUGUCGCUCAAUUCAUUGGGAGAUGCGGGUUUCACCGUUUGUCUCUACUCUUAUAAAAAACCGAAUUGGUGAUGAUGUGUGCCUGCCAUCUUGUAAUAUGGACCGUUCGAUCUAUAUCUGACGGACAGAAAGCAAACUAUGACAAUUUUACAAAAGAUACCCGCACAUCUCUUAACAUUUACAGAUAAGGCCUUGCCUCGUUCAUCCUUAUCUCCCACAACCUCAUUGCUGAGCAGUUAAAUAAGGAAAUCUCUGGAACAAUCUGGCAUGGUGGCCGCUGCCGGCGCCGUCCAUCCCCAUGCCUCCGCCCAGUCCGACCACCAGUCACCACCACGCCCCACUCCUCCUCAACUUAUCUCUCAUCUUUCUCGAGAUAUAAUUUUUUUUGAUGAAAUUCUCGAGAUGCCAUUUUUUCGAUAAAAUUCUCGAGAUAUCAUUAGUUUUUACACAAGGGAUUACUCCUGCAUGGAUCAAUCACAACAGGCGUUUUGUAAAAAAAAUGUAUCUUGAUGUUCCGUGCAAUGCACGAGCAUCUUGCUAGUCAACUUCAAAAUCGGAUAAGCUGGACCUUAAAUGUUCCAACCCAACAAGUUCGAUCAUGCAAAACAACAUCAGUGAAGACAUGAUGCAACCAUCCUAUCUCUCAUUGGUUCUUGAUGCUUUGGUUUCUUGUAACCAACAGAAGGAGUCUACAGGAGUUGCAUAAUUUCUUCUCAACUAAUGCGGAAUUAAGGAGGAAAAGAAGAUUUUGAGAGUGUAUACUUAACCUUAUGUCUGUAGUAACUCAAUGAUAUGUUUGGACUACCUGUUGGAUUUACAAUGAUGUUUAAGCCAAAUUAUACUACACCAUAAGUUUCACAAAUUUUGUACCAACAUAUUGAUGUGUGGCACCCCUAUUAUACUACACAAAAAGUGCAUGUAUGUGGACCUUACUUGUGUGUUUCUAUAAUGGAUUUGAUGUGCCUAGUGUAGCAAAUGGUGGUGUGGUGUCUUGGACUGCCUGAGUAAUGACUAUGCAUUGGUUAUGCCAAGUUUGCCUUGGUUCUUGUUGUCUUUCAUGUUUGAUGACCAGGCAUCAAUUCAACAAUCCUUCUUGCAAGAGGCAUCCCCUGCCGGCCCCUACCCCGUCAUGCAUGGUGUAUUCAACGAUAUUAGGAUCAUGGCCAUUUGUGUGGGUAGCUAAUGUGAUUUUUUGAUAUGACAGAUGUUAGCUCCAGUCAUGCUAGUUUGGUUUUAUAUUGUCUCUUUAUUGCGACCAUAGAGCAACGACCUCGAUAUGUGAAAGAUUAAAGACAUUGUCUUCAACUAACCUUGAUGCAGCCUUCAGUUUUGAGAUAGUAUGAUUGUUCAUAUUUAUUUUUGUUUCUUUUAUGUAUGUACCAUUUGAACCUCUCUUUCAUAUGUGUAUUUUUUACGCAAUAAAAAUCGCCAUCCGCUAUCCAGAGAUAAUGGAGAAACAAGUUUCACAUUCAUUUUUUCAAAGAAAGAAGAAGAAAAAGUGCCACCUAGCACGAGCACCGACCAUAGCGAAAGAGUCCAAACACGAUUGGUAGCAAGAAUGGCACAAAAAAGUGAGGGUAAACCAAAUGCCUCUGCAUCAAUUGACACAUUCGUUAUUUAUCAAAAAUCUUCACGAACGGUCUCCAUGGAAUCCCCUAGCGCAACACCCUAUGAGUCAUUUGAUUUGCUUUUGCGGCCACUCGUGCCAUAGUCGUGAUGGAAGCGUGACAUCAAGACAACAACAUGGUCACUUCAUGUGGUGUCUGGCAAUAUAGACACCCCACUAUAGAUGUGUUCUUAUUACCAAGUUUCAUGGUCUCACAAACCGCAUAAAUAAACGAGGCUGGGACAUCGCCUCCUAAAAUGAGGACAUGUCUAUCAUCGCCUUGCGGCCAGUACGACUAGUGGGAUCAGUGUUUUGGGUCGGCGAGGCGGCAACGGGGAUCCAACCAAUGGAUUCUAUCCUCCGAGACUACCUCUGUCAGGGGUGUUUCCUCUAGCACAACUCAAGAGCUCGUGAGGAUUUUACACAAGUGAAUCAAUCGGCAGUGUCGAUCUAUCUAGCAAUGAAAGCGCAUGCGGGGAUGCUAGCUUUUCAAUAUCAAGGGAUGUGUCCUGAAGGCGGUAGAUCAGGCGUUUUGCUCCGACUUUGUCGACGACAAUCAACGGAUCUAGACUCGAAAGGUAUGGGGAUAAUCCCGGGUUAACACACCACAACAACAUCCAUCGAUGAUUGUCCUCUUGUUCUGGCGAUGAUGUGCAAUGUGGAUGGCACUCGAAGAAAAUUCUAUGGACUUUGUUGUAAUUUAUUUUCUUUUUUUAGAAGAACAGGGAGCACCUCCCCGGUUCUAUUGCUCAGAAUGAAACCACACAACCAACCAAGUCUGUUACAGAAGCACAAAAAGAGCAGUUCAAAAUAAAAAGCAGAAAACGAGCUAGCUAGUAAGUAGCAUUAUUACAAGGGCCACCAGCAGGGCCAAGUCUCACUAAAGAGCUAAGGAGAAGAGCUUUUCAACGGACACAGGGAGGAUCCAGCGUUGCCUUCAUGGUCUUCGGACGUGGAGCAGCGUCCGCCUGCGGUGACCAGCAAGCGAUAAGAGUAGACACCGGGCUAGAUGGGACAACAUUGUGGAUAUCUCUCUUCUUUGGCGACAUGAGCCCUUCACCGUCUUUUGAGAUCUUCAGCUUUUACCAGGGAUCCAGCCCCAGAGAAGAGCAUGGUUUGCUCAGCCACUUGUGAUCUCCAAAGGUCUCUGAAGGUACAUUGCGAGGAACCCCACAAAGGUCAUUAGCUUUACUUUGUCUGAUCCCAAGGAGAGGAUCAUCCAGUUCCUCACUGUGCUCAAGAUCAAUCUCAAGACCUGAGGAACAGAAAUCCAGGUGGUGUUAUCAAAAUCAUAGCAUUUCUAUAUUUCCAGACACACCACAGGACUGUUGAGCUAACAGUAUUCAAAACAUAGCACUGCUUGUUAGCAAUCCAGAAUCUAGCAACAUAUUCAAAGGAAGAGCCAAUCUGAGUGUUGAAGUAAUCAACAGGGACCCAAAGGUGCUUGGCAACAAUGCAAUCAAAGAAAAGGUGGGAUCAGGAUUCUUGCUCCAAACAAUAGACACAUUCAAGGGGUUUGAUGAUGUGUCUUUUUCUAAGAUUAUCCCUGGUCAUCAGCUUGUUGUUAGAGAGGAGCCAGAGAAAGACAUGAAUUUUGGGGGGAACUCUCAACUUCCAGACUGCUGGGAUGAAAAUAGGCUGAACCCCCCUAAAAUUAAUAAUAUGCUAGAGGGAGCUAGAGGAGUAUUGCCCCCUGUUUUCUAAUUGCCAGAUCGGAGAAUCUAUCUCAUCAAAAAAGACAAUACUCCUAGCAAUUUCCUCCAGCUGGAACCAUUGUUCCAUAAGUUUGUCACUAAAGUUCCUUCUGAAAGAGAGUUUGAGGCAUUGCCCAUCCCAGAUCUCAUUUACACAUUUAUUUUGUUCAUUGCAGAUCGAAUAGAUAGGCCAAAAUUGGACAACUAGAGGGGAAGUGCCAAACCGGGUAUCUUCCCAGAACCUGGUUUUGCCCCAUCCCCAAUGCUCCAUCUGUAACCAAAUUUCACAUCAUGGAUAAUAGACUUCAACCCUUUCCAGAAUCUAGAGAUUUUCUGGUUGGAGGAGGAGGCAAAGAUGUUAGGCUUAUUGGCCAAGUAUUUGUGCUCAAUAAGCAUCUUCCAGGGUUUUUGGUCUGUCUCAUAGUAUCUUUUGAUCCUGGAUCCUAACAAACAAAUGUUAAUUUCUUGGAGAUUGGGAAUGCCCAAACCUCCAAACUCCUUUUUCAUGGAGACCAGCCCCAAGUUAGCUAGGUGAAUCUUUCUAUGUCCUUCAAAAUCAUUCCACAGGCAAUGGGACAUCUGUGAGUUGAUGAGACUAACAACCCAUUUAGGGAAUUUGAAGAAGGAAAGGAGGUACACAGGAAUGCUAGCAAGGUAGGCUUGAAUGAGGAUCAACCUACCUCUGUAAGACAGGAGUUUUCCUCUCCAUCCUGCAAUCCUCUUAAUGAUUUUGUCUAAAAGGGGCUGGAUGUCUUCUCUCCUAAGUGUAUCAUAAUGGAGAAGGAUGCCUAAAUAUUUAAUGGGAAAGCUACCACUACUGCAAACUAAAAUGUUUAGAAAGCCAACCAGUUCUUGGUCAUCCAUAUUGAUGGGAAUGAGCUCACUUUUGGAGUAGUUAAUUCUCAUGCAUGAAACUUGAUCAAUGCAAGUCAAAACAAUUUUAAAGUUGCUAGCAUGAUUUAAGUCAUUAUCUAGAAAGAGGAUUGUGUCAUUUGCAUAUUGAAGACAGAUGAUCCCACCAGGGAAAACCUCAGGGCAAAGGCCAGCAAUUAAGUUGUGAUCAACAGCCUUGCUCAACAUUUUUGGUGAGUACAUCAACAACCAGGUUAAAAAGAAGAGGUGAAAUAGGGUUACCUUGCCAAAGACCUUUACGAGCUAGGAAAUAAUCACUCUCACAACCAUUUAACUUUACCCCAAUAGACCCCCCAUGAGUAAGCUGAUGGAUCCAGCUAGACCAUUUCUUCCAAAACCCCCGAGCUCCAGGAGUUCCAUGAGGAAAUUAAGGUCUACUUUGUCAAAGGCUUUUUCAUAGUCCAAUUUUGGAACAAGGCCUUUUUUAUUCCCAGAGUGGACAGAGUGAAGGACUUCAUGAGCAGUGACCACACUUUCAAGGAUGUAUCUCCCUUUGAGGAAUGCAGAUUGAUUGCUAGCAAACAAUCUCUGCAAUACUUUAGAGAGCCUAGUGGUGAGUACUUUAGAGAAAAUUUUAAAACUACGGUUAAUCAGACUGAUAUGUCUGAUUUUUUUCACAGAGGUGGCUUUAGGCUCUUUAGGGAUAAGAGACAAUAUUGCAAAGUUUAGUCUAAAUAUAUCUAGCUCCCCUCUAUGAAAGACCUGAAAGAGGUCCAUAAUGUCCUUCUUGAUCAAGUCCCAAAAGUGUUGGUAGAAAAGGAAAGGAAUUCCAUCAGGAGCAGGGGAUCCAUCUGGAUAGGAGCUGGAAACAGCUUCCUUCACUUCUGCUUCUGAAAAUGGAGCUUCAAGCAGCUCAUUCUGAGAAUGGGAAAAUUUAUCAGAAACAGAGAAGAAGUUUUCUUGAAUAGAGAAACUAGAGGGGUUUUCUUUCUUGAAAAGCUCUUUAUAAAAUUCACUGGCCACUUUUAGCAUUUCACUAGUACCAGUGACAGGACCAUUAGGACCAUCCAGAGAGUGAAUGAGGGUCUUCCUCCUCCUCUGAUUGGCAACAACAUGAAAAUAGGCAGUGUUUCUAUCCCCCUCCUUAAUAUCCCUAUCUCUAGAUCUUUGUUUAGCUUUAAUCUCUUCCUGGAGCCAGAUUUUCUUUUGUUCACCAUGAACAGAGUUCAACCUGGCAAGCUCAGCCUCAGUGAGGUCAGAGGUUUCAGCCUUAAUAUCUAGAGAAUCAAAUUCAAGGAGAAGAAUCCAUUUAUACCUCCUAAGAUUGGCCUCCUCAUUGGAGUUCUAGCCUUUAGUAGUUUUCCUAAAUCUUCUAAUUUUGAUUUUCCAGCUUUCUAGAGGACAGCUACUCCCAGUGGGUUCGAACCAGAUCUUCCUGACUAAUUCAGAAAAAUCCUCUCUUAUGAGCCACCACUUUUCAAACUUAAAGCUGUCGUUUUUAGGAUCUUGGUUAAUUCCAGAGUCCCAAAGCAGAGGGGUAUGAUCACUGCCACAUCUGGGCAGAGCUCUACAACUAGAAAGAGGAAAUAGCCCAUCUAAUUCUAUGUCACAAAAGAUUCUAUCAAUGGUGGACAUAAUCAAAUCUUUUUGAUUAUUGGCCCAGGUAAAUUUCCUAGAAGAGAGCUUAAUUUCAAGUAAGCUCCAUAUCUCAAUCCAGGCAUUGAAUUUAUCACUCCACUUAUGGUUAAUAGAACCAUUGCUUUUAUCCUCAGCAUUCCUGACCAGAUUGAAGUCACCCACAAUCAGAGUAGGAAUGUGGGCAUCUAGAAAUAAAGUAUGAAGUUCAGAGAUAAAAGCUCAUUUCCCUUCUUCAUAGGGAGAGCCAUAAACAGUAAUAAUCCUAAAAGUAUGCCCAGUAGUUUUCAACUUUACUAGACAACUGAUAGAAAACUCUAAGUGGGACCAAGAAACAAUAUAAAAAAUGCUUAAAUCUAUUCCCAUCAGGAUGCCUCCAGCACAUCCUUUAGAUGGAAGUGAGUGCCAGUCAAAAUCCCUAUACCCAGUAAGGGAUUUAAGAUAAGAAGUAGAGAAGUCCUCCUUGGUUUCUUGAAAACCUAGGACAGUAGCAUGAGUUUUAUUGAUAGUAUCAACUAUGAGAGACUCCCAGGGGCUGCAAUCCACCUAACAUUCCAAAAGAGGGCAUUCAUGGGAAGAUUUUGUUCCUGGGGUGCUUGCCCCACCUAUGUUUGCAAAUAAGAGACCAAAGCCCCUCACUAGAAUUAGCAGGAGGGUCUAUGCAAUCUAAACUAGGGUUGCUAUCAAAAGGAAGAUUUCCAGUAACAGAACCUUCAGUUCUGAUUUGUGGAAGAUUAGUAACAGAAGAGCACUUGUUAUCAUCAUUAAGAUAGGUAAUAUCUACACCAAUCAUAGAUGCAAUGACAUUAAAAGAAGGAUCAUUAAAGAAAGAGAAGGACUUGUGUUUCAUACCCAGGGGUUAUUGAACUUCAAGAUUCUGAACCUCUUUGAGUUGUCUGGCUUUUUCAAUGAUAGUUCUCUAUUUACUAACCACCCUAGAACUGGCUCUAGUGGCCUAGACAGGGCCCCAUUUAGUAGGAUGCAAGUCUUUGGGUAGAGCAGGGAAGUCAGAGUCAUAUUGUGGAUCCACAUUGUUUGACAGAUCAGCAUCUUGAGAGAGUGAGUCUUGAUCCUCUUAUAGAUCUAAAGAUCCUUCUAAUCUGUCAGGUCAUCAUCUUCUAGCAGCCCCAUUUCUCUGAGUAGAUUAAAACCAUCAGCAUCUUCAUGUACAGAGUUCAGGAUAUUUUCAAGGUUGUUGACUUGAGGAGUGUAAGGAGAUUCAGGCAGCUGUCUUUUUAAGACUGAUGUGGGGGUAACAUCUCCAAGCAAAUGAUUGUGUCCCAAAGAUUGCCCUCUGAAAUUAUGAGCCCCUGAGCCAGUUGUAGGACCUCUGUCAGAAUCGGCCCUAGAGCUCCUGUUGGACUUAGCAUCUUCAGAGGUGUUGUUUCAAGGCUCAGCAGUAGACACAUAGGUCCCAGAGGAAGGGUUGGUGGAUGUGCAUGUAUCAGUGACAGUCACGGGUGGUUCCACUUCAAUCAGGAGCCUGUAUAUUUUAUCAUCCACACCAAACAAUCUCUCUGCAGGGAUUUUGGAGGGACCUUUGCAGGAGAUUUUGACCCUGACAGUUUCAUAGAAGGACUUGAAAUUAUGUUGCCAAUCCACAUUCAGCAUCACACCCAAUGUAGAAGUGAUUUGGUCAAGCAUAGACUAAUCACACCACUUUUGGUUCAUUUUCCUAAUUUUGAUCCAAGUUUCCUGGAGAUCAUCUUCAGCCUCAAUCCUGCCUUUCCAGAGUUCAACAUUGACAACAACAUUGUCUUUUUUGAGAUCAAAACAAGGAUAUCCAGCAACUUGCACUACAUCCAUCUCAAGAGGGAACUUGACCAGAAAUGUCCAUUCAUCCUGAGCAUUAUAAUUGGCCAAGGCCAGUUUGUUUUGUAUAUGUCAGCAAACUCAUUGGCAAGCUCCCGCUUGGACACUUCACCAGCCUCAACAAGAACAAUGCCUACAUUUUUCAGUGAGCCAUGAUAUUGAGCAUUAUCUUCAGGGGGUCAAUGUGGCAGAAACCUAAACCAGGAGUGACACUUCCCACAUAUCUAGCAGAGUUGUGAGGCUUCCUUCUGAUAGGACAAUUAUCCACCUUGUGGGUGACUGCCGGUGUCAAAACCGGCGGAUCUCGGGUAGGGGGUCCCGAACUGUGCGUCUAGGCGGAUGGUAACAGGAGACAAGGGACACGAUGUUUUUACCCAGGUUCGGGCCCUCUCGAUGGACGUAAAACCCUACUCCUGCUUGAUUAAUAUUGAUGAUAUGGGUAGUACAAGAGUAGAUCUACCACGAGAUCAGAGAGGCUAAACCCUAGAAUCUAGCCUAUGGUAUGAUUGUUGUUCUAUCCUACGGACUAAAACCCUCCGGGUUAUAUAGGCACCGAAGAGGGUUAGGGUUACACAGAGUCGGUUACCAUGCUAGGAGAUCUACAUAUCCGUAUCGCCAAGCUUGCCUUCCAUGCCAAGGAAAGUCCCAUCCGGACACGGGACGAAGUCUUCAAUCUUGUAUCUUCAUAGUCCAGGAGUCCGGCCAAAGGCUAUAGUCCAGCCAUCCGGACACCCUCUAAUCCAGGACUCCCUCAGUAGCCCCUGAACCAGGCUUCAAUGACGACGAGUCCGGCGCUCAUAUUGUCUCCGGCAUUGCAAGGCGGGUUCCUCCUCCGAAUACUUCAUAGAAGAUUUUGAACACAAGGAUAGUGUCCGGCCUUGCAAAAUAAGUUCCACAUACCACUGUAGAGAGAAUAAUAUUUACACAAAUUCAAUCUGCUGACGUAUUUUGUGGCGUGACAUCACACCACGGCCAAGCUUUUAUUCAAAUCGUUUUUACUGUCCCACCUCAGCACGUUUAGCGAGGCGGUUUCCUUGGCACGUCUUGUCAAAGCAGAGAUCGUGUCCCCUUAUCCCGGGAUUCUCAUCAAUACGGGCGUGGGUAACCCAACCGCGCCAUUGAUUACGGCGCUUGGGAGAUAAGCGAGUUUUACCAGGCUGGUGGGGACGCAUAGCUUCGUCCGUCCAUAUAAGGGGAUAAGGAUCCACCUUUUUACCUACGCCUUCUUCCUCCUUUGCUCAUCCAUUUCCGCGCACUCGAGCUCCAGCGCCCAAGUCCGCACAUCUCACCUCAACCUUCCCCAGUCAUGUCCGGAGCGGGAGGCAAGUGGAUGGCCUCCUCCGUCACAGAGGGGCACAUUAAAAGGCUUCGGAAGGCCGGAUACUUGUCCAGUGACAUCGCGCAUCGGCUCCCCGACAAGGGGCAACUUAUCCCCACCCCCAGGCCCCAUGAGAGGGUGGUGUUCCUCACCCACUUCCACUGCGGACUAGGUUUUCCACUUCACCCAUUUGUCCGGGGGCUCAUGUUCUACUACGGCCUGGAUUUCCACGAUCUGGCCCCGAAUUUCAUCCUCAACAUCUCGGCGUUCAUCGUCGUGUGCGUGGCCUUCCUCCGCAUCCAGCCUCACUUCAGCUUAUGGCUGAAGACCUUCGAUGUCAAGCCGAAGGUUGUGGGCGGCCGCCAAGCGGAGUGCGGAGGUGCCAUGGUGGGCAAGAUGGCCAACGUCCUAUGGCUCGAGGGCUCCUUCGUGGAGACCAUAAAGGGGUGGCAAUCGGGGUGGUUCUACAUCACCGAGCCGCGUGACCCUAAAUGGUUGGCGGCCCCCGAAUUCCGAUCUGGCUUCCCUACACGGCUCACCUCUUGGAAAGAGACGGGCCUGACAUGGGGUAAUUCGGAAGAGCUGACCGGACUCCAAUCCUGCGUCCAAAACCUGGUGAGGAAGAAGCUCAAGCUCGUCAAUGUAGUCCAGGUCAUGCUCAUCCACCGGAUCCUCCAGUGCCAACAACGGGCCUUCAACUUGUGGGAGUUUGAUCCGGCACAGCACCAAACCUUGUGCAGGCUCUUCGACACUACGUAUGAAGAUGCCUGGAAGGUGCUGUUCAAGGGCGCCGAGGCUCCCACAUCCGCUACCGAAGAACGCGGAUUUAGCUCGCAGCGUCAAGCCGGCGAGGUAAGCUAUUUUACCCUUUACAGGACACUUGUUUUUCAUAGUUUGACUCUAUGUGGGAUCUAAACUCCCUUACCUUUGACAGGCCUGGCAAAAGACGUCCGGGCAGGUUAAUUGUCCGGCUCCCUUGCCAGAAGACCCAGCGGACGCCCAAUUAAUGGGGCUGCUGGUUCCGGCGCCUUACAUGGUGCCGGAGUAGAAGGCCGAGAAGAAGGCCACGGGAACUUGAAGGAGUUCCCGGCGCCAGGUGUUGUCGGACUCAUCGUCCGAUGACUCCGAGGCGGACUCCUCCCGCGAAGACGAGGAGGAGGAAAAAGAGGCCUCUCCCCCAGUGGGGGGAGAGAAGAAAAGGAAGGCCGCCCCAACUGGGGAGGCCGGAGGGUCCAAGAAGGGAAGGACCCUUCCUCCGGACGACUCUACCAACGCCAAAGACGGCGAAGAGGAGUGGCCACCGAGGGUUAAGCCCCUGGCGAAAUCGUAAGUGUCCGGAUACCAGAAUAACUCAUGGCGUUUCAUUUGUCGCACAGUAUCUCCUAACGUCGAAUAUAACCCUGCAGCCCGCCCAAGGACGAGAUCAGCGCUUCAACGAGCGGCUACCUGGCUUCGUCGGACGUGAAUAGCACCUCACUUCCGGCUGCCUCCUCUCCUCGCGCUGCGGAUGACGCCGAGGUGGGGUCCCAAAAGGGGCCCAGCCAGGAGGAGGUGGUCCAGGAGGCGUCGCAAGGCAACCUCCCGGACUCCAAGCGAAGGGGGAUAAAACCCCAAAGGGUUCUAAGUUCGUCCCUGGGCCGGACUCCGCACCGGAACCUUCAGUGGUUCCGGAGCCCGGCAGGCGGCCCUUUCGUAAGAAGGGAGAGACUGCGACACCGGUGACCUCCGUCCAACCGGAGGCACCGGAUAACUUGCUGGAGGCGCUUAACAGCGCCUCCAUCGACGAGGAGCACCGCACUGUUAUGAGUGUGGUGAUCCAGAAAUUCAGUCUGCGAAGAGUGGGCUGACUGAAGCUUGUGCCAGCCUUCUAACAGGCUUUGAGGUAUGUAUUUAAGAUAUGUAAAAAUAUUACCGCAUAGACAGUAGCCCCUGAUGCUCAGUUUGGUGUUCGGAAAGAAAAGCCGAACUGAGGAUCUAAAAAGAUGUACGCAGGAGUCUAACAUAAGUAUGUCAAUAUGGCAAAUGUAGGCUGCGCUGCUGACGUCUACCGCACUGAUUGCGGAGGUCAAUGCAUUGAAGCAGAGCCGCGAGCGGUCCGAGAACGAGCUCGGCCUUGCCAAAAAGUAGCUCGAGGACAAGGAAGGUAAGCAAGACCUUAUGGAAGUAUAUAAAAGAUGUGGUUGCAAAAAAUGACAGGAAUAACGUGAGUAUUGCAGGGGCCACGAACGAGGUGGCGACCCUGAAGGAAGCGGUUGUUGGGGAACGUUGCAGAAAAUUAAAAUUUUUCCUGCGGUUUCACCAAGAUCCAUCUAUGAGUUCAUCUAAGAAACGAGUCAAGGGAGAGAGUUUGCAUCUACAUACCACUUGUAGAUCACGAGCGGAAGCUAGCCAAGGGGAUGGUGAUGAUGGAGUCGUACUCGAACGUGAUUCGGAUCACCGAUGUCCAAGUGCUGAACGGACAGCACCUCCGCGUUCAACACAUGUACGGGACGGGAGACGUCUCCUCCUUCUUGAUCCAGCAAGGGGGAAGGAUAGGUUGAGGAAGAUUGCUCCAACGGCAGCACGACGGCGUGGUGUAGUUGGUGCAGCAGUACUCCGACAGGGCUUCGCCAAGCAUAUACGGAGGAGGAGAGGUGUUGGGGAGGGGAGGGGCUGCGCCUUGGCUUGUGUUAAGCUCCCAUGCGCCUCCCCACUAUAUAUAGGGGUGGAGGGGCUGGUUUCUUGCCCUCCAAGUCCAUUGGGGCGUUGGCCAAGGUGGGAGGAAAGAAAUCCCAUCAUUUCCUUCCCCACCGAUUGUUAUCCCCCCUUUUUAGGGAUCUUGAUCUUAUCCCUUCGGGAUAUGAUCUUAUUCCUUCUAAGGGGGGAUCUUGGUGCGCCUUGACCAGGGGUGUGGGGCCUUUCCCCCACUACUCACGUUCAUGUGGGUCCCCCCAUGCAGGUGGGCCCCACUCCAGAACCUUCUAGAACCUUCCCGGUACAAUACCGAAAAAUCCCGAACAUUUUCCGGAGUCCAAAAUAGGACUUCCCAUAUAUAAAUCUUUACCUCCGGACCAUUCCAAAACUCCUCGUGACGUCCGGGAUCUCAUCCGGGACUCCGAACAACAUUCGGUAACCACAUACAAACUUCCUUUAUAACCCUAGCGUCAUCGAACCUUAAGUGUGUAGACCCUACGGGUUCGGGAGACAUGUAGACAUGACCGAGACGUUCUCCGGUCAAUAACCAACAGCGGGAUCUGGAUACCCAUGUUGGCUCCCACAUGCUUCUCGAUGUUGUCAUCGGAUGAACCACGAUGUCGAGGAUUCGAUCAAACCCUGUAUACAAUUCCCUUUGUCAAUCGGUACGUUACUUGCCCGAGACUCGAUCGUCGGUAUCCCAAUACCUUGUCCAGUCUCGUUACCGGCAAGUCACUUUACUCGUACCGUAAUGCAUGAUCUCGUGGCCAACACUUUGGUCACCUUGAGCUCACUAUGAUGAUGCAUUACCGAGUGGGCCCAGAGAUACCUCUCUGUCAUACGGAGUGACAAAUCCCAGUCUCGAUCCGUGUCAACCCAACAGCUACUUUCGGAGAUACCUGUAAUGCACCUUUAUAGUCACCCAGUUACGUUGUGACGUUUGAUACACCCAAGGCACUCCUACGGUAUCCGGGAGUUACACAAUCUCAUGGUCUAAGGAAGAGAUACUUGACAUUGGCAAAGCUCUAGCAAACGAACUAAACGACCUUUGUGCUAUGCUUAGGAUUGGGUCUUGUCCAUCACAUCAUUCUCCUAAUGAUGUGAUCCCAUUAUCAACGACAUCCAAUGUCCAUAGCCAGGAAAUCAUGACUAGCUGUUGAUCACAACGAGCUAGUCAACUAGAGGCUCACUAGGGACAUAUUGAGGUCUAUGUAUUCACACGUGUAUUACGAUUUCCGGAUAAUACAGUUAUAGCAUGAAUAAAAGACAAUUAUCAUGAACAAUGAAAUAUAAUAAUACUUUUAUUAUUGCCUCUAGGGCAUAUUUCCAACAGUCUCCCACUUGCACUAGAGUCACCAAUCUAGUUACAUUGUGAUGAAUCGAACACCCAUAGAGUUCUGGUGUUGAUCAUGUUUAGCUCGCGAGAGAGGUUUAGUCAACGGAUCUGCGACAUUCAGAUCCGUAUGUACUUUGCAAAUUUCUAUGUCUCCAUCUUGAACAUUUUCACGGAUGGAGUUGAAACGACGCUUGAUGUGCCUGGUCUUCUUGUGAAACCUGGGCUCCUUGGCAAGGGCAAUAGCUCUAGUGUUGUCACAGAAGAGUUUGAUUGGCCCCGACGCAUUGGGUAUGACUCCUAGGUCGGUGAUGAACUCCUUCACCCAAAUCGCUUCAUGCGCUGCCUCCGAGGCUGCCAUGUACUCCGCUUCACACGUAGAUCCCGCCACGACGCUCUGCUUGCAGCUGCACCAGCUUACUGCUCCACCAUUCAACAUAUACACAUAUCCGGUUUGUGACUUAGAGUCAUCCGGAUCUGAGUCGAAGCUAGCGUCGACGUAACCCUUUACGACAAGCUCUUCGUCUCCUCCAUAAACGAGAAACAUGUCCUUUGUCCUUUUCAGGUACUUCAGGAUAUUCUUGACUGCUGUCCAGUGUUCCUUGCCGGGAUUACUUUGGUAUCUAGCUACCAAACUCACGGCAAGGUUUACAUCAGGUCUGGUACACAACAUGGCAUACAUAAUAGAUCCUAUGGCUGAAGCAUAGGGGAUGACACUCAUCUCUUCUUUAUCUUUUGCCGUGGUCGGUGACUGAGCCGAGCUCAAUCUCACACCUUGUAACAUAGGCAAGAACCCCUUCUUGGACUGAUCCAUUUUGAACCUCUUCAAAAUCUUAUCAAGGUAUGUGCUUUGUGAAAGACCUAUGAGGCGUCUCGAUCUAUCUCUAUAGAUCUUGAUGCCUAAUAUGUAAGCAGCUUCUCCAAGGUCCUUCAUUGAAAAACACUUAUUCAAGUAGGCCUUAAUGCUGUCCAGAAAUUCUAUAUUAUUUCCCAUCAAGAGUAUGUCAUCUACAUAUAAUAUGAGAAAUGCUACAGAGCUCCCACUCACUUUCUUGUAAACGCAGGCUUCUCCAUAAGUCUGCAUAAACCCAAACGCUUUGAUCAUCUCAUCAAAGAGAAUAUUCCAACUCCGAGAUGCUUGCACCAGCCCAUAAAUGGAUCGCUGGAGCUUGCAUACUUUGUUAGCGUUCUUAGGAUCGACAAAACCUUCCGGCUGCAUCACAUACAGUUCUUCCUUAAGAUGCCCAUUAAGGAAUGCUGUUUUGACGUGCAUCUGCCAUAUCUCAUAAUCAUAGUAUGCGGCAAUUGCUAACAUGAUUCGGACGGACUUUAGCUUCGCUACGAGAGAGAAUGUCUCGUCGUAGUCAAUCCCUUGAACCUGUCGAUAACCCUUAGCGACUAGUCGAGCUUUAUAGAUGGUGACAUUACCAUCCGCGUCUGUCUUCUUCUUAAAGAUCCAUUUGUUUUCUAUCGCUGUCCGAUCAUCGGGCAAGUCUGUCAAAGUCCAUACUUUGUUUUCAUACAUGGAUUCUAUCUCGGAUUUCAUGGCUUCAAGCCAUUUGUUGGAAUCUGGGCCCGUCAUCGCUUCUUCAUAGUUCAAAGGUUCACCGUUGUCUAACAACAUGAUUUCCAGGACGGGGUUGCCGUACCACUCUGGUGCGGAACGUGUCCUUGUGGACCUACGAAGUUCAGUAGCAACUUGAUCCGAAGUACCUUGAUCAUCAUCAUUGGUUUCCUCUUCAGUUGGUGUGGGCAUCACAGGAACAUUUUCCUGAGCUGCACCACUUUCCCGUUCGAGAGGUAGUACUUCAUCGAGUUCUACUUUCCUCCCACUUACUUCUUUCGAGAGAAACUCUUUUUCCAGAAAGCAUCCGUUCUUGGCAACAAAGAUUUUUUCCCUCGGAUCUUAAGUAGAAGGUAUACCCGACAGUUUCCUUAGGGUAUCCUAUGAAGACGCAUUUUUCCGACUUGGGUUCGAGCUUUUCAGGUUGAAGUUUCUUGACAUAAGCAUCGCAUCCCCAAACUUUUAGAAACGACAGCUUAGGUUUCUUCCCAAACCAUAAUUCAUACGGUGUCAUCUCAACGGAUUUAGACGGUGCCCUAUUUAAAGUGAAUGUAGCUGUCUCUAGAGCGUAUCCCCAAAAUGAUAGCGGUAAAUCAGCAAGAGACAUCAUAGACCGCACCAUAUCCAAUAGAGUGCGAUUACGAUGUUCGGACACACCGUUUCGCUGAGGUGUUCCAGGCGGCGUGAGUUGUGAAACGAUUCCACAUUUCCUUAAGUGUGUGCCAAAUUCGUGACUUAAAUAUUCUCCUCCACGAUCUGAUCGUAGGCACUUUAUCUUUCGGUCACGUUGAUUCUCCACCUCAUUCUGAAAUUCCUUGAACUUUUCAAAGGUCUCAGACUUGUGUUUCAUUAAGUAGACAUACCCAUAUCUACUUAAGUCAUCAGUGAGAGUGAGAACAUAACGAUAUCCUCCGCGAGCCUCAACGCUCAUUGGACCGCACACAUCGGUAUGUAUGAUUUCCAAUAAGUUGGUUGCUCGCUCCAUUGUUCCGGAGAACGGAGUCUUGGUCAGCUUGCCCAUGAGGCAUGGUUCGCACGUGUCAAACGAUUCAUAAUCAAGAGACUCUAAAAGUCCAUCGGCAUGGAGCUUCUUCAUGCGCUUGACACCAAUGUGACCAAGGCGGCAGUGCCACAAGUAUGUGGGACUAUCGUUAUCAACUUUACAUCUUUUGGCAUCUACACUAUGAACAUGUGUAAUAUUACGCUCGAGAUUCAUUAAGAAUAAACCAUUGACCAUCGGAGCAUGACCAUAAAACAUAUCUCUCAUAUAAAUCGAACAACCAUUAUUCUUAGACUUAAAUGAGUAGCCAUCUCGUAUUAAACGAGAUCCAGAUACAAUGUUCAUGCUCAAACUUGGCACUAAAUAACAAUUAUUAAGGUUCAAAACUAAUCCCGUAGGUAAAUGUAGAGGCAGCGUGCCGACGGCGAUCACAUCGACUCUGGAACCAUUCCCGACGCGCAUCGUCACCUCGUCCUUCGCUAGUCUCCGUUUAUUCCGCAGCUCCUGCUGUGAGUUACAAAUAUGAGCAACGGCACCGGUAUCAAAUACCCAGGAGUUACUACGAGUACUGGUAAGGUACACAUCAAUUACAUGUAUAUCAAAUAUACCUUUGGUUUUGCCAGCCUUCUUAUCUGCUAAGUAUUUGGGGCAGUUCCGCUUCCAGUGACCCUUCCCCUUGCAAUAAAAGCACUCAGUCUCAGGCUUAGGUCCAUUCUUUGACUUCUUCCCGGUAACUGGCUUACCAGGCGCGGCAACCUCCUUGCCGUCCUUCUUGAAGUUCUUCUUACCCUUGCCCUUUUUGAACUUAGUGGUCUUAUUGACCAUCAACACUUGAUGUUCUUUCUUGAUUUCAGCCUCUGCUGACUUCAGCAUCGAGAACACUUCAGGAAUGGUCUUUUCCAUCCCCUGCAUGUUGUAGUUCAUCACAAAGCUCUUGUAGCUUGGUGGGAGCGACUAGAGGAUUCUGUCAAUGACCGCCUCAUCUGGGAGGUUAAUGUUCAGCUGGGUCAUACGGUUGUGCAACCCAGACAUCUUCAGGAUGUGCUCACUGACAGAACUGUUUUCCUCCAUCUUACAACUGUAGAACUUGUCGGAGACAUCAUAUCUCUCGACCCGGGCAUGAGCUUGGAAAACUAGUUUCAGCUCUUCGAACAUCUCAUAUGCUCCGUGAUGCUCAAAACGCUUUUGGAGCCCCGGUUCUAAGCUGUAAAGCAUGCCGCACUGAACGAGGGAGUAAUCAUCAGCGCGAGUUUGCCAAGCAUUCAUAAUGUCUUGGUUCUCUGGGACGGGAGCGUCACCUAGCGGUCCUUCUAGGACAUAUUGUUUCCUGGCAGCUAUGAGGAUGAUCCUCAGGUUCCGGACCCAGUCCGUAUAGUUGCUGCCAUCAUCUUUCAGCUUGGUUUUCUCUAGGAACGCGUUGAAGUUCAUGUUGACAUGAGCGUUGGCCAUUUGAUCUACAAGACAUAUUUGCAAAGGUUUUAGACUAAGUUCAUGAUAAUUAAGUUCUAAUCAAAUUAUGAAAUCCCACUCAGAUUAGACAUCCCUUUAGUCAUCUAAGUGUUACACGAUCCGAGUUGACUAGGCCGUGUCCGAUCAUCACGUGAGACGGACUAGUCAUCGUCGGUGAACAUUCUCAUGUUGAUCGUAUCUUCCAUACGACUCGUGUUCGACCUUUCGAUCUCCGUGUUCCGAGGCCAUGUCUGCACAUGCUAGGCUCGUCAAGUUAACCCUAAGUGUUUUCGCUGUGUAAAACUGUCUUACACCCGUUGUAUGUGAACGUAAGAAUCCAUCACACCCGAUCAUCACGUGGUGCUUAGAAGCGACGAACUGUAGCAACGGUGCACAGUUAGGGGAGAACACUUCUUGAAAUUUUUGUAAGGGAUCAUCUUAUUUACUACCGUCGUCCUAAGUAAACAAGAUGCAUAAACAUAAUAAACAUCACAUGCAAUUAUAUAGUUGUGACAUGAUAUGGCCAAUAUCAUAUAGCUCCAUUGAUCUUCAUCUUUGGGGCUCCAUGAUCAUCUUGUCACCGGCUUGACACCAUGAUCUCCAUCAUCGUGUCUUCAUGAAGUUGUCACGCCAACGACUACUUCUACUUCUAUGGCUAACGCGUUUAGCAAUAAAGUAAAGUGAGUUACAUGGCGUUCUUCAAUGACACGCAGGUCAUACAAAAAAUAAAGACAACUCCUAUGGCUCCUGCCGGUUGUCAUACUCAUCGACAUGCAAGUCGUGAAUCCUAUUACAAAGAACAUGAUCUCAUACAUCACAAUUCAUCAUUCAUCACAACUUCUGGCCAUAUCACAUCACAUGAUCAAUCGCUGCAAAAACAAGUUAGACGUCCUCUAAUUGUUGUUGCAUCUUUUACGUGGCUGCAAUUGGGUUCUAGCAAGAACGUUUUCUUACCUACGAAUAACCACAACGUGAUUUUGUCAACUUCUAUUUACCCUUCAUAAGGGCCCUUUUCAUCGAAUCCGCUCCAAGUAAAGUGGGAGAGACAGACACCCGCCAGCCACCUUAUGCAACUAGUGCAUGUCAGUCGGUGGAACCGGUCUCAUGUAAGCGUACGUGUAAGGUUGGUCCGGGCUGCUUCAUCCCACAAUACCGCCGAAGCAAGAAAAGACUAGUAGAGGCAAGUAAGAUGACAAAAUCCACGCCCACAACAAAAUUGUGUUUUACUCGUGCAAAGAGAACUACGCAUAAACCUGGCUCUGAUACCACUGUUGGGGAACGUUACAGAAAGUUAAAAUUUUUCCUACGGUUUCACCAAGAUCCAUCUAUGAGUUCAUCUAAGCAACGAGUCAAGGGAGAGAGUUUGCAUCUACAUACCACUUGUAGAUCACGAGCGGAAGCUAGCCAAGGGGAUGGUGAUGAUGGAGUCGUACUCGAACGUGAUUCAGAUCACCGAUGUCCAAGUGCUGAACGGACAGCACCUCCGCGUUCAACACACGUACGGGACGGGAGACGUCUCCUCCUUCUUAAUCCAGCAAGGGGGAAGGAGAGGUUGAGGAAGAUUGCUCCAACGGCAGCACGACGGCGUGGUGUAGUUGGUGCAGCAGUACUCCGACAGGGCUUCGCCAAGCAUAUACGGAGGAGGAGAGGUGUUGGGGAGGGGAGGGGCUGCGCCUUGGCUUGUGUUAAGCUCCCAUGCGCCUCCCCACUAUAUAUAGGGGUGGAGGGGCUGGUUUCUUGCCCUCCAAGUCCAUUGGGGCGUUGGCCAAGGUGGGAGGAAAGAAAUCCCAUCAUUUCCUUCCCCACCGAUUGUUAUCCCCCCCUUUUAGGGAUCUUGAUCUUAUCCCUUCGGGAUAUGAUCUUAUUCCUUCUAAGGGGGGAUCUUGGUGCGCCUUGACCAGGGGUGUGGGGCCUUUCCCCCACUACUCACGUUCAUGUGGGUCCCCCCAUGCAGGUGGGCCCCACUCCGGAACCUUCUAGAACCUUCCCGGUACAAUACCGAAAAAUCCCGAACAUUUUCCGGAGUCCAAAAUAGGACUUCCCAUAUAUAAAUCUUUACCUCCGGACCAUUCCAGAACUCCUCGUGACGUCCGGGAUCUCAUCCGGGACUCCGAACAACAUUCGGUAACCACAUACAAACUUCCUUUAUAACCCUAGCGUCAUCGAACCUUAAGUGCGUAGACCCUACGGGUUCGGGAGACAUGUAGACAUGACCGAGACGUUCUCCGGUCAAUAACCAACAGCGGGAUCUGGAUACCCAUGUUGGCUCCCACAUGCUUCUCGAUGUUGUCAUCGGAUGAACCACGAUGUCGAGGAUUCGAUCAAACCCUGUAUACAAUUCCCUUUGUCAAUCGGUACGUUACUUGCCCGAGACUCGAUCGUCGGUAUCCCAAUACCUUGUCCAGUCUCGUUACCGGCAAGUCACUUUACCCGUACCGUAAUGCAUGAUCUCGUGGCCAACACUUUGGUCACCUUGAGCUCAUUAUGAUGAUGCAUUACCGAGUGGGCCCAGAGAUACCUCUUUGUCAUACGGAGUGACAAAUCCCAGUCUCGAUCCGUGUCAACCCAACAGCUACUUUCGGAGAUACUUGUAAUGCACCUUUAUAGUCACCCAGUUACAUUGUGACGUUUGAUACACCCAAGGCACUCCUACGGUAUCCGGGAGUUACACAAUCUCAUGGUCUAAGGAAGAGAUACUUGACAUUGGCAAAGCUCUAGCAAACGAACUAAACGACCUUUGUGCUAUGCUUAGGAUUGGGUCUUGUCCAUCACAUCAUUCUCCUAAUGAUGUGAUCCCGUUAUCAACGACAUCCAAUGUCCAUAGCCAGGAAAUCAUGACUAGCUGUUGAUCACAACGAGCUAGUCAACUAGAGGCUCACUAGGGACAUAUUGAGGUCUAUGUAUUCACACGUGUAUUACGAUUUCCGGAUAAUACAAUUAUAGCAUGAAUAAAAGACAAUUAUCAUGAAUAAUGAAAUAUAAUAAUACUUUUAUUAUUGCCUCUAGGGCAUAUUUCCAACAGCGGUGUCCAAGGCCGAAAGCAAUGCGGCCGCGGAGCGCACCGAGCGAGAGAAACAGGAGGCGCGGGUGGCAGAGGUGCGGCAAAAGCUCCAGGCUCUCGUGGAAAAACACGAGAAUUUGGAGCGUGACUCAAGGACUCGAGAGUCCGAGCUCGCCUCGGCCCUUGAGAGCGCCAAAGCCGCUAAGGCCGAAGCCCAAAAAGCCCUUCAGGAAAUUGAGGCGAUGAAGAAGAUAGCGGCGGGUAAGGCAUUCUUCAUGCAAAGCAAGCACGUGAAAGUGAAUUACUUGUUACUUACCUGAAUCCGAAGCUCUCCAGGAGCAUUCGCAGAUCUUCCCCGCAGUGUGUCCGACGCUGCCGCAUUCUACCGGGCCGAGGAGGGGAGCUCGACGGAGAAGGUGUUCUGGUCUCAGUAUGCUGAGGCCGGACAGCCGGUGCCCUUGAGCGACCAGCUGAAGUAGCUGGUCGAGCUCCAUAAGGUGGCCGAACAGGCCAUGAAGGGCCUCAUAGUUCGGCUGUGGCCUAAGGAAGCCAUGCUUGGGAGCUACUUCGGGCUGGUGAGGCGGCUGGUGGACGCCUGUCCAUGGAUUGAAGUCGUCAAGCGCUCCGUCUGCAUCGAAGGUGCCCGUAGGGCCCUUGCCCGUGCUAAAGUGCACUGGGGCAAGAUGGACGCUGAAAAGCUUGUGACGGACGCUCCACCGCCGGGCAGGGAGUAUCGCAAGCCCGAGAUGUAUUAUCAGGGCGUCCUGAAGGGUGCCCGCCUUAUAGCGGGUGAAUGCUCCAAAGAUGUAAUUUUUGAGUAAACUCGCAUUUGUUAUCCUGUACGCUUGAAAACUUGUUCAUAUGCGCUAAGCAACUCUUGUGAAUUUAAAAUAUUACCUUCUGUGCGGCCGUUUACGAAAUUUAAGAGAUGGCGAGUCGUCGACUUCUGCCCCCGUGCCACGAGUGCUGGGGUGUUCGGGAUAAACUUGAGCUCUCUUUUUCCCAUUCUUGGGUCCUUCGAGGGAGGCGCUCAACGCAACGAACAAGGCAACCGGACUAUAAUGCUUGAACACUCUCACUUAGCCAUAGAAUUAUAUAAUUUUAAAUUUCGGCGAAGCCCCUAGUAUUCGGAAGACUGAGUUCGGGGCGCUAUCCACGCCUGGGCCGGACAAAGCCGACUCCUCGCUCUAAGCGGCAUAAGUCUUUAGGGACUCGAAAACCUCUCGAACAGCGACCGGCUCUCGCCCUAUCAUGACGGUCAGUUUUAGCUUUCUCCACUGAGGUGCUUAACCUAGCUCAACCGGGGCACAAUCGCAGUGGUUCUCCCAGCGCUACCUUAGCCGAUAUAACGGAACGUAAGGUACCAAAACAUGGGAGCCGGGCAAACCCAACUAUUGACCCAAGACAUGGUUCGGAGUCGAUGCAUAUAGUGCUAUAAGUUUGGGGUGCCACACUUUUGAAAGUGUUCGGACUUAUCACACCAUAUUUUGGGGUACUUAAGCCCCUGAUGUAUUUGGCCGUACCAAAGCGUACGGAUGCAACAUGUCAUAAGUGAACAUAUAUAGAUAAAAAAGGAAUGCAAUAACAGGGAGAGGCUAUGUAUGGUUUAUUCAAAAAGGCUACGGUAAAAGCAGAACGAUACAAAUAGUGCGAUAAGCAAUAGACGGGACUAUUGACAUGUCCCCCUCCAGGGGCGAGCUGCGGGAUGAUAUGUGAAACAAGUAUACUGCUCGUUAUAAAGACCACCUGGACACUCGACGUAGCUUUCUGCUUCCCUGGCUGUUGCAUCGUGUGUUUCGGCGAUUCUACUGCCGGACAGGGCUUCUUGAGAACGGAGUCCUGAAAGUAAGAAAAAAAAGGGAAUGACACAAUCGGGAGCCCUUGGUGCGGUUGAGCCGCAUUCUAGGCCUGCCGUGGUCGUGCCCCUCCCCCUAUGCCCAUGGUAUUUCCAGAGCGUAAUUAUGUACGCGUAGUACUGGUUUUGCAAUUUCGCGAGGGCUGGGGUUGGGGCCGCAUUGCUACGCAUGCUCGGAACGUGCCAGGAGGUCUUGUUGUAGGUUACUCCGGGCGCGCUUGACGGUGUCCGGACGUUUGAUAGCCGGACUCGAGAAUUGCCUUGAGAGGUUGCUUUGUACUUCCGCCGCGAGGGCCACCGUAUGCUCCUCCGUUCGGAGAGAGCGUUCGGUGUAUCCGUUGACCGUAAUGACUCCUCGAGGGCCUGGCAUCUUGAGCUUGAGGUAUGCGUAGUGCGGCACCGCAUUGAACUUUGCAAAUGCGGUUCGUCCGAGCAGUGCGUGAUAGCCGCCGCGGAACGGGACAAUGUUGAAGAUUAACUCCUCGCUUCAGAAGUUAUCCGGGGAUCCGAAGACCACUUCAAGUGUAACUGAACCUGUACAGUUGGCCUCUACACCUGGUAUGACGCCUUUGAAGGUCGUCUUUGUGGGUUUAAUCCUUGAGGGGUCUAUGCCCAUAUUGCACACUGUAUCCUGAUAAAGUAGGUUCAGGCUGCUUCCGCCGUCCAUCAGGACUCUAGUGAGGUGAAAUCCGUCAACGAUUGGGUCUAGAACCAAUGCAGCGAAUCCGCCAUGGCGGAUUCUAGUGGGGUGGUCCCUUCGAUCAAAAGUGAUCGGGCAGGAGGACCACGGAUUGAACUUUGGGGCGACUGGCUCCAUCGCAUAUACGUCCCUUAGUGCACGCUUCCGCUCCCUUUUGGGUAUGUGGGUUGCGUAUAUCAUGUUCACUAUCCGCACUUGUGGGGGAAGCCCUUCUGUCCUCUAUUGUUCGGCGGCCGGGGCUCCUCCUCGUCGUCGCUAUGCAGCCCCUUGUCAUUGUUUUCGGCAUUUAACUUGCCUGCAUGCUUGAACACCCAACAAUCCCUGUUGGUGUGAUCGACUGGUUUUUCGGGGGUGUCGUGUAUCUGGCACGAGCGAUCGAGUAUUCGGUCCAAAUUGGAUGGGCCUGGAGUAUUUCUUUUGAAUGGCUUUUCCCGUUGACCGGGUUUUGAGCCUCUGAAUCCGGCAUUGACUGCCGUAUCUUCAGCAUUGUCGCCAUUAAUGCAGCGCUUGUGCUUGUUGCGACGCGACCUGCCGUUGUUGUCCUUGGUAUCCGAAUUACCAGGGCUCUUGGUCAUGUUGUUACUGCGAGCUAGCCAGCUGUCCUCUCCCGCGCAAAAGCGGGUCAUGAGUGUUGUGAGGGCUGCCAUAGAUUUCGGCUUUUCCUAUCCUAGGUGCCGGGCAAGCCACUCGUCGCGGAUGUUAUGUUUGAAGGCUGCAAGGUCCUCUGCAUCCGGACAGUCGACGAUUUGAUUUUUCUUGGUUAGGAACCGUGUCCAGAAUUGUCUGGCCGAUUCUUCUGUCUGCUGAAUUAUGUGGCUUAGGUCAUCGGCGUCUGGCGGUCGCACAUAAGUGCCCUGGAAAUUGUCGAGGAAUGCGGCUUCCAGGUCUUCCCAACAACCGAUUGACUCUGUUGGCAAGCUGUUAAGCCAAUGCCGAGCUGGUCCUUUAAGCUUGAGUGGGAGGUAUUUGAUGGCGUGUAGAUCAUCACCACGGGCCAUGUGGAUAUGAAGGAGAUAGUCCUCGAUCCAGACCGCAGGAUCUGUUGUGCCGUCGUAUGAUUCAAUGUUCACGGGUUUGAAACCCUCAGGGAUUUGAUGAUCCAUCACUUCGUCUGUGAAGCAUAAUGGGUGUGCGGCGCCUCUGUAUUGGGCUAUAUCACGACGCAGCUCAAAUGAGCUUUGUCUAUUGUGUUCGGCCCGGCCGGACUUGCCAUAUCCGGCGUGAUGGUUAUCAUCACGUAUCGUGGGGCGCCCACGCGAUCCGUGGAUCGAUCUUGUUUGCCUUGCCUUGUCCUCCAAUAUAUCCCGCAAGUCUGGCGCAUUUUCCCGCGCCUUGGUAUUUUUUGAGCAGCGCCGGGGUGCGGCUUCAGUGGAGGGCCGAGAGGCCUCUCUGUCGCGGCCACGAGGUGGCCGGUCGGCCGUAUUACGCGCUGGUGAUGUAGGCUUAGGUGCUUCCUCCUCUAAUCGGGGUAGCAGCCUGCGUUUUGGGUAGCUCUUGGAGGGGCAUUCGAGUUCGUACUCUCCGGCCGCCAGGACUUCAGUCCAUCUGUCGGCUAGCAAAUCUUGGUCAGCUCUAAGCUGCUGCUGCUUUUUCUUGAGGCUGCUUGCCGUGGCCAUAAGCCUGCGUUUGAAACGCUCUUGCUCGACGGGAUCCUCAGGCACGACAAAUUCGUUGUCGUCAAGGCUUGUCUCGUCUUCGGAGGGAGGCAUGUAAUUAUCGUCCUUUACCUCUCUAUCUGCCGCUCUCUCAUGAGGGCUGGCUUCUCCAUCCUCCUGCACUGAAUCCUGCUGAAGGGGGUUGUCUUCGGCACUGCCCGGGGUGUUAUUGUCUCCCGUGCCGGAAUCAUCAUUUUUGUUGUGGCGGGAUUUAGAGCGGCGCCGCUGACGCUGGCGCUUAGGCUGUUUCUUGAGGGGUCAUCCUCCGUUGUUCCAUCGCCAUUCCCAUCUUUUGGGAUGUCCACCAUGUAAAUGUCGUAUGACGAGGUGGCCUUCCAGCGCCCUGUAGGCGCUGGUUCUUGGUCGUCUCCUGCAUCGUCGUUCAUACCGUCGAUGUCUUCGGAGUCGAAGUCGAGCAUGUCGGUUAAACCAUCGACAGUGGCUACGAAGUGGGUGGUGGGUGGGCUUUGAAUUUCUUCGUCGUCCGCAUCCCAACCUUCCUGACCAUAGUCCGGCCAGGGCUCUCCUGAUAAAGAGAGAGAUUUUAGUGAAUUCAAGAUGUCGCCAAAGGGCGAGUGCCGAAAAAUGUCCGCGGCGGUGAACUCCAUGAUCGGCGCCCAAUCGGCGAUUGGCAGGGGCACAGAAGGUUUGGAGUCCGGAGAGGAGUCCGGCGCCUUGGAGUCACGAGCUUCGCAAAGGACAGGGUUGGUGUUCGGCUCAAUCGCCGUAGAGAUAGCAGCCCCCGAGGCGGUGUCCAGCCACCCGUCCUCGAUCGACGCAGUCGGCUCUGAGCUAAGGGUCGGAGCGGACACUUGUGCGGCCUCCAGGGCACUGUCCGGCGACAGAGCUAGAUCAUGCCCAUCGUGACAGUGCGGCGCGCUUGGCUGCGGCUCGAACCCGUCGAAGAUCAAGUCUCCGCGGACGUCAGCCGUAUAGUUCAAACUUCCAAAUCUGACCUGAUGGCCAGGGGCGUAGCUUUCGAUCUGCUCCAGAUGGCCAAGCGAAUUGGCCCGCAGUACAAAACCGCCAAAUACAAAGAUCUGUCCGGGAAGAAAAGUCUCACCCUGGACGGCAUCGUUGUUGAUGAUCGGAGGAGCCAUCGGACCUAAAGAUGACGACAUAGAGGAACUCUCAAUGAAAGCACCAAUGUCGGUGUCAAAACCGGCGGAUCUAGGGUAGGGGGUCCCGAACUGUGCGUCUAGGCGGAUGGUAACAGGAGACAAGGGACACGAUGUUUUUACCCAGGUUCGGGCCCUCUAGAUGGAGGUAAAACCCUACUCCUGCUUGAUUAAUAUUGAUGAUAUGAAUAGUACAAGAGUAGAUCUACCACGAGAUCAGAGAGGCUAAACCUUAGAAGCUAGCCUAUGGUAUGAUUGUUGUUCUAUCGUACGGACUAAAACCCUCCGGUUUAUAUAGGCACCGAAGAGGGUUAGGGUUACACAGAGUCGGUUACAAUGGUAGGAGAUCUACAUAUCCGUAUCGCCAAGCUUGCCUUCCACGCCAAGGAAAGUCCCAUCCGGACACGGGACGAAGUCUUCAAUCUUGUAUCUUCAUAGUCCAGGAGUCCGGCUAAAGGCUAUAGUCCGGCCAUCCAGACACCCCUAAUCCAGGACUCCCUCAGUGACCAUUUUACAAAUAAAGCAUCUCUAGGGCUUGGUGCAUUUGUCCAGAUGAUGUCCUGGCUCCCCACAAUUGUAGCAAAUCACAUCAGAGUAAGCCAUAAGACCUGACGCAGGGGCAGGGACAAACUUCUGGGAGUCCUACUUCUUUUUUUGCUAGUUCUUGUUCUGAGAUCUGCCACUAACUUGAGAUUCAGAUCCCCCGGCAGAUUGCUCCCGGAUGGCAGUAGGAACCUGACCAGAUUUUUGCCCCAUCUGGGGAGGAGGCGGCCCGUACCACUGUGCAACCUGGCUCCCCCCCAUUGUUGCUGAUGAAAUUGGGGUGGGAAUUGGCCAGGAAAACCCCACGGAGGGAGGCCACCUUGAAAUCCAUAGCCGAAGUAUGGCGGUGGCCCGCCCAUCUGAGGUUGCGGGGGAGGCUAUUGCCUCCAGCUGUUGCCGAUCUCCCCUCUUCCUCCUUUGUGCUUGCCGCGGCCACGCUCCCGCCCACUUUCCGCCAUGGUUGGAAGCUCUUGGGUGGCGGUGGCGGUGGGAGGAGGGAGGGUAGAGGAGUCCUUAGGGUUUCCAGAGGGUGAGGUACUUAGAGGGGCCCAGAGCUGGCUAUAGAAUUCCUCUGUCAAGUCACCAUGGCAGCAAGGCAGCGAGGUUGCUUCGGUGGCUGCUCUGUCAGCACCUUUUCCCAACCUUUUCUCAGCCCUCCGCGCUUUCUGAAGGAAUUUGAAUCCUCCCCCUGCUGCAGCACCAACAGAGUAGGGUUGGAGGCAGAAUCAACAACCUCGACAGGAUUAGUUAUGCUUCUCGCCAUGAAUUCGGACACAGGACAGGGGAAUCUGCAGAUAGAGCUCGCUGGGCGAUCACCUGGAUCAAGCGGCAUCGAAAGACCUGGGGGAAGAACUUGGGCUUGCAUCCCGCCAGGCUCAACAGAACUGAAGAAUGCCCGAGGUGCACAGCCAGAAACAUGAUGAUAAGCAGAUUUCCUCGCUGAAUUGGGCAUCUCCUCAUUGAGCAUCCAAAUAUUAUCUGCCAGGAAGCAGAAGUAACCACCCGAGAGCUCGGCUAACGCGGAUUGCUGAACAUGAGUCAAUCUUCUGCAGGCUUGGGUGACAGAUAAGGCAGAGGAUCCACCUGCUCCGGUUCCGGUGGCACGCUGGUGGGCAUGAGGCCAGUCAAGCAUUCCCAUCUCGCGGCGCGGCGGGGAUUACCCGAUUUCGCUUCUCCUUUUGCCCAAUGGACAAACGCAAUCAGUGGCUUCAAAGGGUGUGGCAUUAUGCGUUUCUCCGAGAAGUCGCCCUCGAAGUAGAUUCACAAAGCUAGAUUCAGCAAUUCCCGAUCCACACGAGCCUUGCACAUCUGAGCAUACCUGUGGGACUGUGGAUCUAAAUCCAGGUCCGCUUCCCUCCACUCACGGGAGCACAGGGACCAGGAGAGGGCGUCGUCACGGAUCCGCAUCGCCCUCUCCCUCCACCGCCUCCCCCGCGUCUCCCUCUGAAUGGCCGGCGAGAUGGAGCUGAGCGGCCGCAGCAUCCGCGGGAAUGCUUGGUAGACAUGCGGGAGAGGCAUUUUGAACCUCUGCUUGUCUUUCAUCCACUCUCCAGUAGAUCUCGGAGGAGGCUCCAUGGGGAGCCCGCGAGAUCUCGGAGAGGGGAAGAGGGUGCGCCCGUCGCUAGGAUGCGGCUUGUGUGGGGGGCGAUAGCGGCAGCGGGAUCUACGGUGGCGGCGGUGUUGGAGGUGGGGGCGGGCGCGAGGGGAAUCGCAGGAGCGGUCAUGCACGAGCAGUUAUCUAAAAAAAAACCUGUAAUUUAUUUUCUGGUGGGUGUUAUUUAGUUUUGUUCUUAGGCAGCUGUACUCUGCUGAUCUUCCGUGUGUGUGUGGCUUGUAUUCCGGUUUAUUAACAAAGAAGCACGGUGAACAUCUCAAGAAGAGAACAUUGCAAAAUAACAGAGGAUCAAAAGGAGGACCCUCGUCAACAUCGCACGCAGUAAGAUGAGAACAGUCAAUCGUCAAAGCAUCUCAGAAUCUACCAGGUUGCUAGGAGGCAGAGCAUCAGCAAAUAUUUACUUGAUAGAUAAAAACAGGCCGUUGGCUCAGAAAAUUAACACAGGCAACUUCCGAAUUUAUAUUUAGCGAACCAUGAGAACAUUCUUAAUAACACACAAUACACGUCACCUAAUGACCACACAAUGGCACGAAACCGUACGGACACAAAUACAAAGAUACACCAAUACAAGUACGCAUGUACACACGUGAGGUGGAACAUACCGAAGACGAGUCACUAGUAUACGAGGGGCUUCUUUGCACGGAGGUCGCGGAAGUACGUCCGGGGAUCAUCCUCGAACGCGUAGCGCGGCAUGCGCGCGCCGUGGCGGCCGGGAGCUACCAUCGUUCGCCCGCCGCGGCGGCGGCCGCAGCAGCAGCACCGGGCGAGCCAGAACAGCACAAGGGCGCCGAGCGCGGCCGGGAGCACAACGGUGACGCCGAUGCGCACCCACUGCGCGAGCGUCUCCGAGCGGGUCUCCGGCGGGAAGAGCUCGUCGGCCUUCUUGGCGAGCGCGGCGAGGAGGCCGGCGAGGAAGGCCGCGAGCUCGGUGGCCUUCUGCUUGAUGAGCUCCCACAGGGGGGCGAGAAAGCGCCCGGCACCGUCGAGGUCGAAGCCGAGGCCGGCGUCGCGCAGGGACCGCGUCAUGGCUCCGCCGCUCCGUAGCAGGAGCUUCCUCGCUGCAGGUGCCUCCGGGACGAAAGCCAUGGAUUCGCUUCUUUCUUCGCUGAGGGACGUCUACCGGGCUGGUCUUUGGUGUGAGUGUAGCGGGACUGACGGAGUGAGGUGCGGGGUCCGAUAUAAAGAUGGAAGCGAUUGAUGGAAACGGAAGCGUUUGGCGUUUCGCCGAACGAAUAACCAGUCCACUUCACCCAGCUGCAUACAUGUUCAGCGCUUUGAAGAGACAAUACAACACUGGCUGCACAGUGAACACGAGCUCCCGAGCUCAUGAGUCACGUGACUCGAUGUACUAGCCUGCAAGGUACUCGAUGUACUAGCCUAGAGUGUGUCCAUCAGAAUAUAUGGGUCUUGUGUUGGACCUGAAACCAUUUGAUAGAGAUGAUGACCAGUCUUUGCUCUGGUAAUUUUCCAUGAACAGCGAGCUCAAAUGCUUUUCUCCCACGGACUCCCCUAAUCGAACGCCACCAUUUUGAGAAUUUUUUGUAAGGAACCUAUGAACUGGAUAUGUUUUCAUAAAAGUAAGCAUAGUAUUCCGUAAAGAAAAAUAAUGUUACCCCACUUCCAACUUGAAAAGAAAAGGACCACGAUAUCGGUCGAUCGUUCGGCCUGGACAGGUGCCAGACCAAGAGGUUCGGUACGAUACAAUCCCACGAACGAUUUUAGUUCGGGAGGAGAAGCCUCCAGGUGCGAAUACCUCCCCAGCUCCUAACAACCCAAAAAGUGAAUCAAAAAAGCCAAAUAACAAAAGAUAGAAGAAAAAGGCCAAGAUUUUGCUUCUUUUUUUGCUGUGAGAAAAAAAACCCAGAUUUUUUGCUUUGUUAAUUUAAAAAAUGCCAUCAGCUUUCAAACACAGCAAAAAUUGCCAUGGGUGGACAGGAAUAAAUUUUAAAAAUAACCCAAAUGAAGAAAACAUCAUGGAAAUUUCUAGCAUACAAACAAAAUAAUUUGCAAUGUCAAAUUCGUAGCAUAAAUGUCUUGGUAUUUUUACUUAAAUUUACAUAUAAUGUAUGUGAAAAUAUCUGUGUGUGAAAAAACACAGAAAGUUGAAAAAAGAAGAAAAAUGAACAAGUGAAAUGCCAUAACCAAAAUCAUAUUAAAAUUUGCAUAUAUUUGACAUGGCAAAAAAAGUAAAAUCUGCCAUGUUAAUAAAGGUCAAAUAAAUAGUAAAACUUGCCAUGGCAAUAAAAGUUAAAAAUUGCCAUGGGGAUUUAGGUAAAUUUCCCCAAGUUAAUAAAGGUAAAUUUUCCAUGGCAAAUAAAAUGUAAAACUUGCCAUGGCAAAAACGCUAAAUAUUGCCAUGGGCAUUUAGGUAAAUUUGUCAUGUUAAUAAGGGUUAAUCUGCCAUCGGCAAAUAAAAAGUAAAACUUGCCAUGGCAAUAAAAGCUAUAUAUUGCCAUGGGGAUUUAGGUAAAUUCGCCAUGUUAAUGAACGUAUAUUAGCCAUGGCAAAUAAAAGUAAAUAUUGCCAUGGCAAUAAAAGUUAAAUAUUGCCAUGGGAAUUUAGGUAAAUUCAUCAUGUUAAUGGAGGUAUAUUAGCCAUAGCAAAUAAAUAGUAAAACUUUCCAUGGCAGUAAAAGUGACAACUUGCCAUGGGGGUUUAGGUAAACUUACCAUGUUAAUAAACGUAAAUUUGACAUGGCGAAUAAAUAGUAAAACUUGUCAUGGCAAUAAAAGUGAAAACUUACCAUGGGUAUUUACGUAAAUUCGCCAAUUCAAUAAAUGCCAAAUAAGACAGUAGAGCGUGCCAUGGCAAUAUUUGCCAUUUUGUGUCUUUUUGACAAUUUCGAGAAUUACCAUGGCAAAAUGCAAUGGUUUAGAAGGCAAAUUUAGAACCGUUGAUAGCUAUAUAGUGGCAAUUAUACGAAAAGCAACAUGGCAAAGUGUACUGAAAAUAUUUUUGCCAUGCAAGUGCGAAACAUAUCAUAAUUUGCACGCAUCGAAACUUCCUAAUUUGCCAUCUGUUUUACAAGUUCCGUGCUCCGUUUGAGUGAAAAUUGAGUUGUCUAGCUGCAUAGUGAGCAAGUGCACCAUUCAUCCAUCAGUUAACAAAAAAAUUAUAUUCCUAAUUCAUAUCAGCAAUGAGAUUAGACUUGAGAAAAUAGCAAAUGAAGCAAAAAAAAGGACACGAGGUUAGCCGCUUCACAGCCUCACAUUGCAGUGCAGCAAAAACUUGCCAUGGAGAUUUGGGACUUCUCAUCAUCCUAUGGCUGGGACGAGAGGGAGGAGGCCUCGCAGCGCCACCCAGGGAGCCUGUUGGUGGUGAGCCUCCGCCUCUCCCCUGCACGUCGUCCAUCCCCUAUGAGCGUGCUGCUGCUCGCCGCACUCCCCGACGAGCGCGCAGGUGCUGACACUGAGCUCGCCGGCGAGCCUCUGCCUUUCUCCCGCCUUCGGCCUGAUUUCGGCCAUAUCCGGCCCGUGCAUCACCGGUGGAACUUCUCCGCAACGCUGCUCCUCCCCGCCUCAUCUCCAUCGCGCCACGACUGUCUCGAGUGUUGACGUAUAAUGUGCCGCCUAGUCUUUGCCAUCAGAUCGGUCUUUUGGUUGUAUUGGCUAGAGCAUGCACUUCUACAUGGUAUCGAAACCACACGUGAGGGGAGUGUUGACGUAUAAUGUGCUACCUAGUCUCUUUCAUCAGAUCAUCUUUUGGUUGCGUUGGUUAGAGCAUGCACUUCUACAGCGAGGACAGAUCAGCCCGCCACAUCCCGAUGCUGGGUCCCGUAGGAGCUCCUAUCCGUCGUCGUCCGCCUCCGACUUGUGGACGUACUUGCAGAUCAGGGAGGGAAACAGACGGAUCCAAAAGACAGCUUGCCGGAGGCUACAUUCCCGGCGAUGGACGGCGGCGGCGUCAUUCUGUACUUGAUGAAGAAGAGAUAGUAGAGCGAGCAGCGAGAGAAGAAUAGGAGCGGCACAGGGCGGCUUGGAGGAACCUGGCGGCGCUCGUCGCCGGUCGCUGGUGGCACGGGAGAGGCGAUAGCUUGGGAUGGAGCUCAUGCUCGCCCACAAGAUGGGUUAUAGAGUAGUAAUUCUACACCUACGAAACGUUCUACUUAGGCUUACUUAACCUUCCAGAAAAUUCUCUCCUCCCCACUGAUUUUAAUUGGGAUGGGCCCCAACUGCUAAUCCUGGCCCAAUUAACAAACACCACAUCAACUUUUACAUAACAUCUGAACGUAACAUUUUUCUUUGCGAAGGAAUCUGAACAUAACAUUACGUAUAUGUAGCAUUGCUCGUGAUAGAGUGGGGAAUGGAUGAGGCAUCGUGGGGUCGUGGACCGAAAAAAAGCUUUCGGGAGACUUUCCCUCGAUGCGAACGAGGGCGUUGGGAUGUUGUGGUGAGGUUGCGUGCACCAAUAUACCUGCGUCCCCAACGGGUUGCACGGUCGCUCCUCGGUCGCUCUCGCGGGCGGCCAGGAGCGAAACCUAGCCGCCGCCGCAAGCCACAACCACCGCGCCCCCGCCCUUCGCCGCCGCCGGCAGGAGUCGUCGGGCAAAGCCAGCGGCUCGGCGGCGGCGGGGCCCUUUUUCCCCUUUCCGCUGGAGAUGGUACGGCGCGGGCCGGCCGCUCCUGGAGGGAGCUCUGGCACGUUGGCGCUCGGGAUGGCGUUGGCUGGCGCUGGAAGGCUGGGGCAGCGGCCCCAGGUCGCGCGCGGGGUUGGCGUGCGCCUCCCUCGCGGAGGUGGUCCGGCGGCUGCCUGCGAGGCGGAGGAUCCGGGGCCCUCGCGCCUGGAUCUGGUGAGGAGGCGGGCCGUCGGCAGCGGCGUCGCGGCGGCAUGAGGUCAAGGCAGCGGUGAUGCUGGCCUGCGAGCAGGGUGGAGGCGCGGGCUGGGCGCGGCGGGGCGCGAGGAGGCGUGUGGCUGGGCGCGGAGUGCGGCCAUGGGUGCGGCGUGUUGGUCGCCGGUGCAGAUCUGGCGGGCGGCGGCCGGUGGUCUUCGCUCGGCGGCCCUGCGGGCAUGCCUGGACGCCACGGAUCCGGCCUUGGCAGCGCAAGAUGGGUAGUUUUCUUUGCCCCGUUCUGCUGCUUUGGAGUACAGGGGGCCGGAAGGAGACGGCUGCUGGUCGGAGGUCCAUGGCUGGCGGCCCGGGAAGGGCACUGCCGGCUGGUGGUGGUGCCCGGUUGCCGCUUGUUGGAGCUGUGUGGCUCUGCCGCGGUUGGAUGCGGGGUGCAGGGCCCGAUCUGGUCUCUGCAGGCCCGUCAUCGAGGAGGUUUGCGGGUGGCCCUACACAGCAGUGGCGUGCUCGUUGUGUUGGGGGUGCGCGGUCCAAUGGAGGUACGGGUCGACCUCGGCCUGCUGCGUGGGAGUGGCUGCACCGGGUGAAAGCCUGGCCGGUGCUGACCGGCCGACGACGACGGCGCCUGUGGGCGUCGCUAUCCUCCUUGGAGGCGUCGUCAGGAAUCUUCACAGCCUCUACUCCUGGAUCAAGUCCUUCGGGUGAAAGCCCAGAUCCUGCUACAGGGUCGGGCGGUGUCGUCGUCUUCAACGCAGUUCCCCUCUUUAGGGUGCCGUCUUGAAGAAUUUGAUCCCUUUGGUGCUUCCUAUGACUGGACGUGCACGGUGGCUUCUGUGGCAACGACGACGGUGGUGAGCAACGUCGGAGGCGCGGCUUUGGUCGUGGUAGUCGGCUCUUCUUCUCCGGCGUGUCCAUGGGAAUGCCUCGACUGCCCGUUGCUGUGAAGUCGAAGCUGCGGUGGGGGGCCGCUGGUAUACGAUGACGCGUGUCAGGUGGCUCGUUCGGUGAUCCCUUGUGACGCCAACCUUGCCUCCUUUCUUUGUGGUUCAUCUUCGGAGUCGGAGCUGCGUUGUCUAAUGUGGAUUGUAUGGAGUGUUUUGUUGCAGCCAUUAGGGUUGAUGUUUUUCUUUUUCUUUUGAUCUUUGGAUCUCCUGGUCCUAGGACCUUCAUCACCUUGUUGUUUUCGUUGCUUUCUGCUAUUAUCAAUGAAUGCCAGCGAUGCUGGAUCUUUCAAAAAAAAUAUACCUGCGUCCGAUCCAACGAUAACAACAAGUUCGGGGUGAGAUGCAAAGGGAUGACAUGUUCGGCAAAUAUUGAUUCCAAAGUAAAAUGGUGUUUCCCUUAGGCUUUAUGAAGAAAAUUGAAACCAAACCAAACCAUGGCCGCUAUAAUAAGAAAGGGACAAAGUGAACCAACAUGUGGUUGAAUGGUUAAAGAGACUGUGGUAUCCCAAGCCCAUCAGGGUUCAAAUCCACUUCAUAAAUUUUAAGAUGAUAUGCCGUCUUAGUCUUUCGGAGGUGCUCAUAGGGAUAGGGUAUGCGUGUGUGUUCAUAGGGGUGAGUGUAUGCGCGUGUAUAUGAGCGCUUGCAUCUGUACUGUGUUAAAAAAAGAACAAAGAUCAGUAACAUGCCCACGCUGUAACAUGGUCGUUGGAUUGAAAAUCAACAGAUCGAUCUAACAUGUUGAACUUUUUUUAAUGUUGACAAUAGAGCUGCCAAAUUCAUUGAUCAGAAAAAGUGUUACAAGAAUUCUAAGACGAAGAAAGCAGAGCGUGCAAAAAGAAAUGAAAGCAAAAAAUGCCGGCACUAUCCCCAAACUCCACCAAACAAGUCAUGCACACCAACAAAAAUCAACGUUGUGUCUCCAAGGUAACGCCUCCAAAGAGGGAGUAAUGUCAAAGGACAAAACCAUUACCCGAUCUGGCAUAGCCAAAUCUUAGGUUUUCAUCCGAAGACCACAAGCUAUAAGCUACGAAGGGCAAAACGAGCUCCACAGCGGUACCUUCAAAAAGAAAGACGACAUACGUAGACGCUGUUACCAUCGGCACUGACCAGGUCAAUGCACGAUUUUCAUCCGAAGCCGAGUCUUCCACCAAUUGGAUCCGAGGCCUACCAGCACUACCGGGAAGAAAUAUGCCAUGCACACACUACCAGGAACGGACUUGCCGCCGCCGCACGCCGAAACAUGGCGAACACAAGACAACCUGGUUGAGCCGCCCCGCCGCACGCAGUCCUGGACGAGCCAAACCAGAUCCGGCCAUCCCCUGCCUUUGUGCGCAGAAACUGGGCGAGGAUCCGCACCGCAGCGCACAGGAAAAAGCGAGUUAGAAUCGGAGUUGGCCGGCUUGCAUCGCCGCGCGCCAAACUGUGCGAACACCACGCCAAACUGAUCGCCUCACAUCACCGCGCGCAAGGACAGGACAAGCCGAGUUGGAUCUGAUCUGCCUAAAAACCUACUCUGCACCACAGCCGCUGCACGGCGCCGCUACUCCAAGACCAGGACGUGAGCACAGUUUGGAAAGAAGGGCCCGCCAGCAUUCGUCAACCCUACCGAACAUCCACCACCAGUACGACCUCGGGCAGCAAGACCGGCAAAAGAGACAUCAAAUCAAGCACGACCGUGGCAAGGACCGCACGUCGCGCGCCGACCUGGCCCAUCCUCGAAGCCCACUCUGGCACGCCGUACCCAUGGCACGCCGCACGCGCGGUCAGCUGCUCGCCGCGCGCCCGCCGAUGCCUGCUCAUCACACACGCCGCACCCGCCCGCCUUGCCUUGGCCGAGCACCCCAGCACCGCCCUGACCUCGCGAGAGGGAAGAAGAUGGAGGGCCCGCCGCCGCCGACGCAGUGCGGGCUUUUCCCGGUGGAUUUUUUGUUGAAAAGGACUACCUGGCCAACAGAAUUGCCAGAAAAGACCCCCUCUAAAUGCAAUUGACAGGAAAGACCCCCUCGACCGUGACGGCAGGUGCUCCAGCCGACACGUGGCACCUGCCGCCACAUGCGGAGGCGGCAGCCCGUGCCGCCACUGGACCAGGCGGCAGGCGCCACGUAACAGAUUUUCGGCCGAAGCGCGGGAGCUGGAAUGGAACGGGUGACAGGAGGUGCGCCCUGCCGCCUUUGGGAGUGGUGGCACCUUUUUUUUUGCCUGACAGACGAUUAAACAGCGCACGGCACCUCCUCUGUAUAUAUAGAAUAUUUAAAAGAGAGAGCAUGCAUCUAUGCGACGUGGUGUACACGAACUAGAAAUCUGGCUAGCUUUUGUACGUGCAUAUCUAGCCCUCUUUUCGUGAUUAUUUCUCUUAGAUCGAAGUAUAAAAUUUCAAUCUAUUUGCACCACUGUAUUCUUCAUGAUGAACUCUACAAAUAGAGUCUAAUAUUAAUUAUAUUUUUUCUUUCAUAAAUUUCUAGCAAUACGUGCGACCCAUACGUCGUAGAGUAGCUAAUUGUUAAAUCAAUGCAUGUGUCAACACGGGUGACACGCAACUGCGGAAACACCGAAAUCACCAGUUGGUGGUGGCUCGUCGUGCGUGCAGCAGCUGCAGCACCUGCCGCCAGCGGGCGUGGCGGCAGCAACAUGUGGCCCGAGCUGCCGCCUCAAGCAGUGGCAGCAGGGCCCACCUCCUGUCUCCCGUUCCGUUCCAGCUCCCACUCAACCGAAAAUCUGUUACACGGCGUCUGCCGCCUGCCGCCGUGGCUGCAGGGCUGGCCGCCUCCGCACAUGGCGGCAGGUGCCACGUGUCGGCUGGCGCGCCUGCCGCCACGGUCGAGGGGGUCUUUUUGGUCAAUUUUAUCUAGAGGGGGUCUUUUCUGGCAAUAUCGUUGGGCAGGUGGUCUUUUUCGACGAAAAAUCUUCCCGGUGCGGCUUGCCGGCGAGAGGCGGGGGAGAUUAUGCGGCAGCUAGGGUUUCGCCGUGGUCGCCCGCGGGGUGGGGCUACACGAGCGACCGAGAAAAGAGACCAGGUUUUCGUAUUUUGUAAAAUAAUCUUUUGAUUUUCAAUCGGAUGGCUAAGAUAGAAGGGUAUGUUACUAUUGUUCAACAGUAACAUGCCUAUGACACGACACUGGAUCGAGCAUGCAACAUGAGCACACAUAUAUUGAUACUCCCUCCGGGUUUCCGUCUUUUGAAAAAUAACCUUUUGAUUUUCAAUCAGAUGGCUAAGAGAGAAGGGUAUGUUACGUACUAUUGUUCAACAGUGACAUGCCUAUGACACGACACUGGAUCGAGCAUGCAACAUGAGCACACAUAUUGAUACUCCUUCCGUUCUAAAUAUUUGUCUUUCUAAAGAUCUGAACAAAUUCUAAAGAUUUGAACAAAUGACUACAUCCGGUGCAAAUGAGUGAUUCUACACUCUAAAAUAUGUCUAUAUAAAUUCGUGUGUGAUAGUUUAUUUGAAAUUUUUAAAAAGACAAACAUUUAGGAAGGUAGUAGACUAAUGCAUACAACACGAGAACAGCGCACAUAGCCAUCGCUAGCACAUAACACAAUGCAUGCAUCUCGCAGGUCUUGCUCAGCUGACGAACUAGAUAGAUGGGGUGUGUUGUGCUUGUGCUCGUGUUCGGUGUGAGAGCGGCCAAGGGCACGGGUGGGGUUAUAAAGACGGAGGUGCACGCUGCGAACGAAGGAUUUUGGAUCGGAAUCAGCCGAAGAUCCAGUGACUCCAUUUACACGGUUAAUAGCCUGCAACGCACAGCCAGUCUGCUGGUUGACGUGACAAUACGACAUUGGCUGCACAUAGCCACGAGCUGCCUAGUUGUGACUCCGUUUACCCGGUGAAUAGCCUGCAUCACACAGCUGCCUAGGUGUGACUCCGAUUACCCGGUAAAUAGCCUGCAUGACACAGCCAGCUGGUUGACGUGACAAUACAACGUGGCGGCACGUAUCCGCGAUGUGCCUAGUUGAUUUGAUGGUACGGUACCAGCUUUAGUAGAUGCACUCUAGAGUGUUCAAACGACCAAAACACCUCUGCCCUAGGGUUCCUGCAGACUGCCGUAAUGGCUAUUGGUGAGAUAGUAUUCUCUUGCAUUAUUCUAGUAGCAAGCGCAGCUCAACGAUAAAAGGAUAAAACCCAAAAAUAGUUAGUGCGUGUUGAUAGGCGAUCAUCUUCUAUUCGGGAUCUUUAUUUGAAGCAGAACAGAGAUCAGAUAAUUUCUGAGGUGUUGAGUGGAUCAGGCAGCCAGUACAUGAAUAAGAAGACAAGGAAAGCAACACCAUGGAGUUAAGAUACAUGCAUGCACACUUACACAUAGCGGUUACUACUUUACAUUACAGAGAGUAGCUUCAGACUGUUGACACGCUAGUAACAUGGUCGAACAUACACGCACCGCCCAGGUACAGAAGAUGAUAUUGAACUUGGUUGACACUAGCUUAGCUUGGGCAAUACAUACGUGCCCAGGUGCAAAAGGUACAGUCCCUACUCCUGAACUUCAUUGACACUAGCUUAGCUUGGGCAAUACAUACGUGCCCAGGUACCAAAGAUCAGUCCCUACCCCUAACUCCAUACUAACUACCUAGCGUACUGCCACUAACUUGGCAUCAACCUAGUGUGCAUUUCUUCUCUAGGCAGCAAAGGCGGCCGCAGCCGCCGCAGCGCCUGCGUUGUGGAGGAGCUGGAAGUACAUCUGCGGGUUGGCCGCAAAUGCGGCGCGGGAGAUGAGGAAGCCGGCCGCGCCGGGCGCCUUCAUCAUCCCACCGGCAACGACAGCCGCCGGCCAGAAGAAAUAGGCGCCCACAGCGCCCAGGCCGACGAUCACCGCAGCCGCGACGACGUUGAACACCAUCUCUGAAGUCUGAACCGACGUUCUCUACCUGAAUCUGUGUUAGAUCUUUUUCCCUGUAUGUUCUAUGCAGAGGCGAGAUUGCUAGAUGAAGCGGACGUAAGAGCUAGCAGCGAGAAGGGUGACUUAUAUAGGGCUGGACGCUGGAGUGCCCGCGAGCGCUCGCCGCUUCCAGCCGCAUCGAGCGAUCUGUUCACCGGGGACGCGUGGACAAUGGCCGGAGACAAGGGUCGAUGGAGGGGAGACGCGUGCCGGCCAGGCGGCCACGUAGCCGGGUAGUACAUUUUUCGGCCGGUAAUCCUGGCAAUCGAUUGUUGGGUAUAGCAUUCCCCUUUUUUUCAAAUUAG
rnacentral:lncRNA from 1 species